AAGAACGAAGAGUACAAAAGAUGGAGAUAAAACUAAACCCUAAAAAACCCGAAAACAAAGAACCCUCAAAACGUAAACACAAAAUUCUCUAAAUGUGUUAUGAGUUCUAAUAUCUAAUGGGUGCCUUUUCUAAGGUUGUAAAAGAGCCUAUUUAUAGGUUAAAUUCAUAUGUCAAAUAAUAAUAAAAUAAUCUAAACUAAUCAGUGUUUGACUGAAAUAAAUAAACAGGGUUUAACUAAAAGAUUAUUUUUCAAAUUUGACUGAAAGUAUGAGUCAUACUUAACAAAUCUCCACCUUGACUCAUAUUUCUACAACGCCAUCUUUGCCAAAGCUCGCCACGAGCCUAUCUUGAACUAUGCAGGGAAUUAACUAGGUCGAAUCUGUGCUUAGAAACUGGAAGACUUCUAGCCUUCAACUUGUACACCGCCAAAUCAAAACUAACCCGGGUCUGAUUUUCACGAACACAGUGCCCUAACUUUUCAAAACCUGCAUCCAAAAGAGAACCUCUCUUCAACAAAACGGUCAUACAUUUUUCCCUCCUAUGACCAAGUUGCCUUCGCUCCAAACGAGUUGACUUCUACUCUGUAACGGACGAGGGACGUCCGAUUUCAUCGGUCACUGUAGAACCUUCCAUAAUAUAAAGACUGUCAUUUCUUUUACCUUUUAACAAAAUGAGAGCUUCAUGAGAUACUCUAAUGUCGCGUGACUCGAUGUUGAUUUUGCAUCCUUUCAAGUCUAAAAUACUCAAGAAGAUGAGAUUUUUUCGUAAAUCAGGUACAUACCUGACAUCUGAGAGUGUCCUAAUCGUCCUAUUGUGUAUCCUAAUUUUAACAGUACCAAUACCAAUUACCUUACUAUAUGAAUCGUUUCCCAUUAAACAACUCCACCUUCAACUGAACUGUAUGUAGAGAACCAUUCUCUAUUGGGACACAUGUGGAAAGAACAUCCCGAAUCUAGGAUCCACUCGAACGUGAGCUUGGAGUUAUCGCUCGUUGACACUAACAAGAAACCACCAUCGCUUUCAUCGAUCAAAUUAGCACCAGCUACAUCUUCCUCGUUACUCUCAGUAGCUCUUUUAUUUUGCAGUUUAUAACAAUCUGCUUUGACGUGACCUAAAUUUUUACAAUAGCGACACCUUUUGUCUCGUUUCUUUGAUGCUAUCAAAAUGAAAGCUUGCCUAUCUGCCUUGCUAUCCAAAUGAAGCUCAUUGUCGAGUUUGUCUCUACUCAACAAAUGACCCUUCACAUCUUCGAACGAGAGUUUAUCUCCGCCAUAAAUCAGGGUCUCCCUAAAAGACUUGUAUGAAGGGGGUAAAGAGAAAAAUAAUAGCAUAGCUUGAUCUUCAUCAUCAGUAUGAACCUCAACGUUCUUUAAAUCAUUUAAAAGAGUAAUGAAUUGACUGAUGUGAUCUCUAAUAAGCCCACAUUCGUUCAUGCGAAACGUAAAUAGACGUUGUUUCAACACUAAACAGUUAGCCAGAGACUUAGUCGCAUAAAGAGUUUCUAACCUUUUUCAAACCGGAUUGAACUAGAAUUGCCAUCAUCCGAACUUGCCACAGAUUGAAAUUUGUCUCACCAUCGAACUUCUCAAUUUCAAACCUUAUUGUUGUCAUAUCUGAAUGGGCUGAUAUUUGAACUAGCUCUGAUACCACUUGUUAGGGAUCGAACCGAUUAAGCAACAAAUAACAAAAAUAGCGGAAUAAAUUGAGAAAUUGAACACACAAAUUUAACGUGGAAAAACCCCUCCAAAGAGGAUAAAAAACCACGGGCAAAGAUAAUUUUACUAUAAUGGCAAAAGAACGAAGAGUACAAAAGAUGGAGAUAAAACUAAACCCUAAAAACCCGAAAACAAAGAACCCUCAAAACUUAAACACAAAAUUCUCUAAAUGUGUUAUGAGUUCUAAUAUCUAAUGGGUGUCUUUUCUAAGGUUGUAAAAGAGCCUAUUUAUAGGCUAAAUUCAUAUGUCAAAUAAUAAUAAAAUAAUCUAAACUAAUCAGUGUUUGACUGAAAUAAAUAAACAGAGUUUAACUAAAAAAUUAUUUUUCAAAAUUGACUGAAAAUAGGAGUCAUACUUAACAGAAGUCAAUUCAACCAAGCUAUCACUUUUCAAGUUUGGAAUAUCAGUCGACUUGCGAUGAAUUUUUGGAUGGGAUCCAGAUAUUUCUGGACUGAGAUAUCUGCAUAGCAUUUGAAGAGUUACCUCUUAGAUUUGAAACGCACUUUGAAUCAAUCGAUUUCAAGUCCAGGAGGUCAAGUUAUGAUCAUUUUACUGAAUACUGUGUGAGUAGAAUUUUUGGAUAGAAUUAUUACAAGAAAUUACGAGUUUCGGACUUUAAUGCAAGUUGAAAUCAUAUUGUGUUCGAUUUUUAGGCUUAAAUUUUAUUAUAUAUGAGUACAAUAUUGCAUUUAUUAAGUUUUAUUAUUUUAUUAUUUCUUUAUUCUGAAUUUUAGGAUAUUUUUAAGUAUUUAAAGUUGUUUAAGAGUUUUAUGUUUCUUAGUUAAUAAGAAAGUUUAGUUUUACUAAAACUACUCAUUGUUUAGAUUAAUUACAGUUUCAUUAUACUUGAGAGUUUUAUUUAGAUGUAAUUAUCUAGCCUAUAUAUUGGUCUUUUCAUUGUUUAUUAAAAGCAUUGAUAAAAUUGAUUCAUUCAUUAAUAAAAUUUUCAACUCUAAAAGUUAAUUUCUUUCAUGCAGGAUUCUUUUCUCGUGAUUUUUAGAAACGAUUUUUUCCUCUUGAUUUUCUUCAAGGAUUUGUGGGAAUCCAUUCUUAAUCCUUCAAUUUGCCAAAAAUUAUUUCUUUGAUAGUUGAUUAGAGCCUUUAAUUGAAUUUGUUGGGGUUUAUAUUUGAGGUCCAGUUGGACAACUAUCUUCUAUUCAUAUCCAUCGGUUUAGCAGUCAAAUAAAACUCACAUUCCUUUCCUAGGAAUCUACCUAGUGCACAGUUCUCAUUCACUUCUUUAUUUUUACCCUUUUUGAUAUUUGCUUUUAAACAAUGAGGACAUUGUUUCUCUUUUGUGGGGGGACCAGAAAUAAAAUUUUUGGCUUAUGACGAAAAUUAAUUUUUUUCCAUCAAGUUAUGUUAUAGUAAAAUAUUAUUUUAUGUAUAAAAUUUUAUUAUUUCAAUUAUUUUUAUGCUAGCUUAGUUAUGAUAAAAAAUGUUGAACUGAGUAAUUGUGUAUAAACCAUACCAUGAAAAUUUUUAAUUCCUUAGAAAAACUAAGCAAUCAUGAAAGUUUAAGUCUUUAGAAUUGACUUAGUAAUUUCCUUAAGGCGAAAUACUAAGAGGCAUGGUAAUUUGAAAAUGAUUUAGGCAAUUUUUGUUUGGACCAUUUGAGCCUUUCAAGCCAACCCUAGUAAUAAUUAUCUAUUGAAACCCUACUUUAAGCUAUAUAGCCUGAUGUUUUUUUUCUGAACCUUAUAUUAAUAAGUCAUCCUUCCUUAAAAUUUAUCUCUAUCUGUCCCAAAUCUUAGACUCAGUCCAACUAGAAUGUUUUUGUGAUUAAAUUUGGGGAGUUAGAGAGAAGUGUUUGAUUUCUCAAAAUAUUGAGUUGUAUGCUUAAAAAAGCAUUAGUGAUUGCUUAAAAAAUCUAGUUAUUGAAAAAAAAAUAUGUACAGAGAACAUGUGUACUCAAACUCAAAAGAGUUGGUGUUCUUGGGGAUAAUUGUAUUUGGAAGGUUUGAGGUACACUGAGUCUAAGAUUUUAGUCUAAAAAUGAUCUAUCAUUUUCCUACCUUGACCCAAGUCAUAUUACAACCAUAUUAAAGACCUAUUGAUUAAACUUUAGGAUUACUACUGAGUUCAACCAAGGGAAAUAAAUUUUGUUUGGGAAGUACUAAGCACAUAUUUGUUAAGGGAUGGUAUUUAGUACAUAGUUUUGUUAGUAUAUUAAUCUUUGAAAAUAAUUGAGUGAUAUAGGCACUCAAGUUGCAUGUUUAGAAAUUUUUUAUUCUUCAGCAUAAUUUUGCUAAACACAUAACUAUAGGAAUGAUUGAUUUCGUUUGAAGGGAUUUUUGCAAAAGUGGCUCUUUGGUUUCUAAUGUAAGUUAGCAUAUAUCACCACUUGGGAUGAGCAAUGAAUUAAGUUUGGGGGUAUGAUAACUCAAAAUUAUAUAGACAUUUACAACACCUUCUGACUAUUAAUUCAUGCAAAUUCUGAGUAUUUUGAUAGCAAAUUUUGUAUUUUUUCAUUAAAAAUUUGUAAAGUAGAACAAAAUUAAAGAUAAAUUUGUAAUGUUAUUUAUUUCCAUGCUAAUUUUACAUAUUUUUUUUCCAGUUUGGCGCAGUUUGGUGCAAUAGAAGAAAAGUUAAUCUUGAAGCUCACCUAUUCGAUGCUUGAUGAUGUAACAUUCCUGCAGUAGAGGCCAUGCAAACGUGGGUUGAUGGCUAAACAACAUGAGACAUCCUAAAUUCUUUUAUUGGACCUUUAAAUUCAAUUUGAUCCAGCUCCCAAAUGGUUCACAAAAAUGGACAAGCUUGCUACCAAAUAUGAAGCCCAAAUCAUCCACUAAGGGAGGAAAAAGCCUAAUUCAACCAAGGGAAGUCCAACCGUCCAUAAAAGUAUUUAACUUUGCCUCCCAAGACUUGGUAAAAUAUCACAGAUCAGUCACAACAAAUUUCCCAUGAUCGUUCAACUCCCAUCCCUAUUUUAAGGUGCCUUCCCAUGAAUCAAGUAAGAAGUAGCUAAAUUUAGCAAAGUCAUUCACCUUCCUUCCUUAACACAAGGGGUCGACCAUUUGUGAGAGAAAUGAGGGGGAUUAUAAUUCUAAAAAUAGAAAACUCAAGAGUUGUAAGGAGUAUUUAGAAGUUCUUGUGAGUAGCAAAAAUUCAGCAUUUAUAAGGCAUUUGUGUGAAGGAACAAAGCAAAAAGAAUGAGGAAAAGCAAAUAAAAGUUGUGCAGCGGAGAAACAUCGCAUUUGUCUCCUAGUUCCUUUUUCUUAAUUCUUUUGAUUUUGUUCUAAACUUAUGAACAUGAUUGCUAAAUAUAUUUCUGCUUUUUAUUUCAUUAAAAUGGCUUAAUUUUGUUUAUGUUAGAUUGAUUGCAUUUUUUUAGCUUAGAUUAUUAGAAUUUUAUUAAUGAUGUUAUGUGCCUUGGUUGCUUAUUCAUUCAAAUAAAAUCAUGAACAUGUUAUUCGUGCAUUAUAAAUAUUGGGAUGCAAUUGAAUUAAUUAUUAAAUCAGAACCAAAUUGUAAUUAAUUGACACAGUAUCUGAAUGGUGCAUGUUUGACCAUUUUAUGAUGAAAUUAGGUCAAAUUAGUAAUAAUAUCAAAAGAACUUUAUUACCUUGCAUAACCCUAAGAUUAAUGUGAUUAAACUAUUUCGGUAUAGAAAUAUUACCAUUACUUCACAUAAUAUGAUUUCUACUUAUUAAAAUACUAAGUUGAUUGAACAUAGACAUAUGCUAGAAAAACUUAAUUAUUUAAUAAGUGUAAUUUCUUAGACGAUACCUAGAAAGGUAAUCUUGAAGUUAGACUUGACAUAGAAAUAUGCAUGGAGACUAAAAGGUCAAGCUUAAGUCUUCGAGAGAAGCCAAGCAUUCGUAAAUAAUAACAAGCUUAAGUCUUUGAGUUUAUUUAGGAUCAUUCAUCUCAUGAAAUUGUGUGAUAAUGUGUGGUAUUGAUUUGGUAUAUAAAAUAUUUGUAUAGAUCAAGAAUUAGACCAAAGUGGAGUAAAUAAAGGAAAAGCAUAAUGUAACACCCCUAACCCGUAUCCGUCACCGGAUUAGGGUUACGAGGUAUUACCAGUCAUAUUACAGUUCAUACAGAUAAUCAUUACAUUUCACAACUCGAAAUUCAAUCACAUCAAUGCUCGUAACUUAAUCAAAUAUCGAGUCUUGAAAUCAGAACAAUCAUAACAUUGCAUAAUUAAAACAUAUUCAUAUCAUCUAUAUAACCACAUAUUCGAAUUAUCUAAUGUGCAACAAAGCCAAGUUACAUGUACUUAAUACAUAUAAAUGUUCGAACCACAUGACUCUAAUAUUAAUGGCAUUUGUAUACUUAAAACAUAUCCUAGCAUAUAUCAUUACAUUUCAUACAUCGAAUAUAUGUCACUAUAUCUAUUUCAUUAGUUGAAUAUCAAACAUAUCAUUUCAUAACUUCUGCACAAGCACAUAAUAAAACCAUUCGAACCAUAUUACAUUAAUUAUUAUGCAAUCACAUAUGCGACUUUAGUAAUAUUACAAUAGGGCCAAACAUACUUUUGAUGCAUAUAUAUAUAGUGCGCAUUUCACCCUAAAAACAAAAGCCACAUUUAACAUUUGAACAAAAAUAACAUUCCAAUGUACACCUAAUUCGCAUAUAUAUAUAUAUAUAUUAGUAACCCUAACUUCAUAUUUCAUCCUAUUAACUAAUCAUUGAUUCAGUCACACCAUUAUCAAGAUCAUAUGCUUAUCAAAAUGAACCAAAUAUCGUUACCGAAUUUACAACCACACAUGUACGCGUACCUAUAUUAAUAUUAACAUCAACUUGACACUUUUAACUAUCCAUUAAAAGCUAACCAAAACAUACCUAAAUCAUAACCAUCAUUUACCAUUUGGAUCCGUACCAAAACAAUCAACCAAAAAAAUCAUGAAACAUAUUCAUUACUUGUCAUUUAGCAACCAAACCUAUAUAGCCAAUAUACAUUCAAAUACAUAUUCAUCAUAUUACCUCAUUACUAAGCCAAAUUAAACAAUCAUCCACCACCCAAAUUAUUCCACAUUCCAUACUUCCAAAAUAAGCUAAUUAUUAAGCUGAUUAUACAUCAUACUUACCAUUUCUCAUUGCCAAAUCAUAUAACCAACAUCACAAACUUAUAUACCAAGAAACAUACUUCCAAAAUAAGUUUAAGUCAUAGCCACAUACACACAAGCUUUAACAUUAUAAUCAAGCCAUGUUCACAUAGCUAUCUAUAUACAAAUUUCAAAGCCAAACAUAUAAAAACCAGCCUAUACAUGCCAUAUGUUUAUAGUUUCAAACUUCAAAAGUACCGAGUAAUAUUCGAUAGUGUGACGAUGAUCCUAGACGAUCCCCAAGCUCGUAGCUAGCUUUCAAAAUCUAUAAAACAACAGACAAACACACAAAGUAAGCUUGGAAAGCUUAGUAAGUCAUAAGCAAAUAAAUUAUCAAAUGAACAUUAGCAUGAUUAUUUCAACAUGGUCGAAUAUGAACAAUCUCAUGUACAUAAUGGUCAGACCUUUGACAUGUAUAAUUCAUAUCAUCAUCUCAAGUACUAUACUUACCUUAUUUUCAUGGACAUUUAACUUCGAACGUACCUGAACCAUUUAGUUCAAUUUCACAUUCGAUCUUAACUCAACAUUGCCCGUUAAACCAUUCGAAAUCAAUAAGGAUACUCGAAUAGCUCGAAAAGCUCGUACACUACCAAUGUCCCAGACGAGGUCUUACAUGUAAUCAAAUGUCGAUGCCACUGUUGCAGACAGGGUCUUACACAAAAUCAUAUAUGAUGCCAAUGUCCCAGACAUGGUCUUACACUUAAAUCUCAAAUUGAUGCCAACGUCCCAAACAUGGUCUUACAAGAAAUCACAUAUCGGAAUCCUAUGUCAUGACAUAUGUAUCCUAACUAUUCCUAUGGUUCGUACUGGGCUUUCGGACGUCAUAAUUCGAUCGAUUCAAACUCGUAACUAGUUCUCCAAUGCUUAAUUCAAUUUGGCAUAUACACAUAAAUUUAUUAUAAUUCAAUUUUGGCACAUAUAAUACAUAUACAUUCGAAUUUAACAACAUUUAUUUACUUAUGAACUUACCUCGUACGGAGACGAAUGGACCAGAACGACUAUUCGACAACUUUUGAUUUUCCCCGAUCCAAUUUCGUUUUCCUCUUUUCUUGAUCUAAAUUAAUACAAAUUUAACUCUUUUAUUCACCAUUCAAUUUAAUCCACAUAAUCAUAUUUAAGGCAUUUUACAAAGUAUCCUUUAUAUUUUCACAUUUUGACAUUUAAGUCCCUAAUUCACAAAAUUACAAAAUACACAUAAUUUCAUUUUACACAUGCUAGGUCGAAUGUUUAUACACUUCAUAUAUGCCCAUAUAUUUCCUUUAUUUCACAUUUUAACCCCUCUAUUUCUCAUUUUCACAUUUUAGCCCAAAAUACUCAAAUUCAUCAAAAAUCCAAACACAAAACAUAUUAAUCUCAUACCAAGCUUUCAUAAUUCAUCAAUUAACAUCAUUAAACUCACAAAAUCAUCAAUGGCACAACUCAAAAUCAUUAUCAAAUUCUGAAAUUGAGGCAUGGGCUUAAGAAAACACAUUGCAACGAUCACAAAAAUGUUUUAAUUGUCAAAAACCGAAACAAAAACAUACCUUGAUUAAGCUUGGAUAAGGCCGAAUAGAAGAAAGAUUUAAAACCCUUAUUUUCUUUCUAAUUUUGGUGGAAGAACACUUGAAAAUGAUCAACAUUUUGGCCUUAUUCACUUUAUUUAUUUUGAUUUAAAGAAUUACUAAUUUAACCUUAAUGAAAUAUUAAUAUAAAACACUUGAAUCAUGGACAUAAAUGUCCACUAGCCUUAUAAUGGCAUAUUAACCUUUUAAGGACUUCCCAUAAAUCAAAUCAUAACAAAUUAACAUAUUUACAAUGAGAAUGUCACUUCUACUUUUUAUGGGUUUAGCCCUUUUUUGCAAAUUAAGCAUACAAACGGAUAUAUUAAAUCACGAAAAUUUUACACAUGUCAAUUCACAUACAAUAAGCAUAGAAAAUAAUAUUAAAAUAUUUUUUGACUCGGAUUUGUGGUCUCAAAACCACUAUUUCGAUUUGGCUAAAACCGAGUUGCUACACAUAAAUUGUGGAUUAGUCCCUGACAAAUCCACCUGUAUUGUGUUUUGAAAAGGUAAGUUCAUAUCGAACUUACUACUCUUCUUUAGGUUAUAUGUAUGCUUGUGUUUAUUCCAUUAUAACUAUGUUCGAACAUAACUUUAAAUGUUGAUUAAGUUGGCAUACAUGGCUAGAAAAUGAAAUGGAAUUGAAUUGAAUAAAAAUGAAUUAAGAUUGAUGAUUGAUAUGACAUGGUACAUGGUAUGAUAUGUAAAUAUGGAAAAUUAUAGGGUAUGAACAUGUGAGCAUGAAUGAUUACAGGGUAUGAUAAUGCAAAUAUGUAUAAUUGAUGCCCAUGUGAACUUAGUAAAAGGUUAGGAUAUGAUUGGCAUGUCAAUAAGGUCAUUUGCACGCUUGUACGGGAUAUGUGAUGAUACGGAGAUUAUGACAGGAUAUAUCGAGACUUGCAUUUGUUAUGGAUCAUCGAGCAUUAUUUGUCCCUACAGAGACUUUGAUGUGGUAGAGGGAAUUAAUUGAAAAUGUUUAUACAUUUGAUUCCUACGGGCUUUGGAUUUUGGUGCCUUGGUGUGGUAUAGUUAAGCUCUUACAAGCUAUCUGACGUGGUGUAGUUCACUCGUGUAUCCGAGUCUAUUUUUCUAGGGUUCCAUUGGGAAAAAUGUUGAAAAUGGAUCUUGAAAUAUAAAAAAAUGAACCAAUUUAAUGUGUUAUUAUGAUUCGUGAUUCAAAUUGAAAUGGCUUGAUCUUGUAAAUUGAUAAUGUAAUAUGAAAUGGUAAUGAUCUUAAUGAAAGUAGAGAAAUUGGUGAUAAACCUAUGUGAAAUGGUGAAAAUUGGUAAUGUUUGUGUUACUUUUAUCAUGUUUAAUGCAUAUUAAUACUCAUGAUUUUUGUGUAUACCUUGUUGUGACCUAGAGUGUCAUCUGCUAGCUAAAUGUAUGUAAUGGCCCAAAUUCAAGGUUAUCGGAAUAGUAGUAUUGUAACCACAAAUUUGAUUUAAAGAGAAAUUUAUUUUAAUAUUUUUGUAUGAAUAUUGAUAUGAUAGGAAAAUCGUAUGAAAAUAUAGAUAGAAGAAUUUUACCAAUUUAGUGGUUAGUUAGAAAAAGAAAUUACUGAAGAAAUUGGGUAAAAACAAGGUAUCGAGACCUCGAUCUCGUAAAAUCGAGUCAAAAAUAUUUUUAUAAAUAUUUAUGAAGUGUUAGUAAUAUGGUAUUAAAAUUUCGUUAGAAAAUUUUAAUGUUUGGGUAGUCAAUUAAGUGAAAAGGGCUAAAUUGAAAAAGGUGUAAAAGUUACUAGAAGGAUUAAAUAGCUCAAUUGUUAAAUGAGGAGGGACAUAAAUUGCAAAUAAGCCCAAAAGAAGAUAUUUUGGGCGGCAUACGCUGAGAAAAAUCAGGAAUAUUGAAGAAUUAAGGGUAAAAUUGGAAUAUUGCAAAAUUUACUUUAAAAGUUAGGACUAAAGUGGAAUAUCUAGAAUUCUCUUUAUUUUUCUGCAUUCUCAUCAGCCAAAAAACGUCCUAAGGGUUUCUUUAAGCUAUUUUUUCAUAAUUUUUGCACCAAGUGAGUUAAUCAUUGCCUUUUUCUUGUAAUUUUUGUGUUUCUAAGACUUUUACAACUAGGUCCUAUUACUAAAUUUAUUAGUUUUUGAUUUUAUGAAUGAAUUUGAAAGUUGCUAUGAAUAUGUGCUGGAAUUUCAUGAUGAAAUAGGAUGAAAUUGAAGCUUUAAUUUGUUUAUAAGAUGAUUUUAUUAGGUAAUUUCAAUAGAAAUUGAUUUGUAGGACUUAAUUGUAAAAAAGUUUCGAAUUAAAGUCUAGUGCUAAAAUUCUGAUUUCCAAAGGUUAUAAAGUAGUUUAAAGUGAUAGAAUAAAGUGUUGGUUGAGAAAAAUCAGCUCAAUUGAGAGGUUAAUUGAGCAGGGAUGGAAUUAUCAUUUAUUGAAAGCUUAGGGAAAGAAUGGUAAUUAACAUUAUGCACUAAAACAGUUUUGGACAGCAGCAGUAGUCUAACUUUAAAAAAUCACCAAAAAUUGUAUAGAUCGAAUUAAAGGAUGAAUAAAAUAUGAAAGUAAAUCUUAUUUAGUCUAGUUUCUUAUAAAAGAAACGGUGUAAGCAAUGGAAUUGUAAAUCAUGAGAUAUAAUAGAUUUUGUGAGACAAGGUCAGAAUGAAUUCGGGUUCCCCUGUUCUGACUUUGGAAAAUCAUUAAAAAUUGUAAAAAAAAUGAUUAUGAGUUAUAAUUUAUAUGGUUAUAAUCCUUAAUGAGUAUAUUUUUAGAAGAAACAAAUGGAAACAUCAUCCGAAUUCUGUACAAUGAGAUAAUUAAUUUUUAGUGAAGAGAGGUCGAAACUGUUGAACAGUGAAACAGGAGAAAUUUUAAAGAAUAAAAUGUACUUAUUGGCUAAACCAAAAAUUCUGAAAAUUUUAUGGUAAGAAUAUUUGUGAGUCUAGUUUCGGGAAAAAUUAUCGGAUCUUAAUUUGGAGUUCUGUAGCUCAAGAUAUAAAUAAUUUAGUGACUGUGACUCAGUGAGACAGCUUUGAAUGCACUAUAAAUAAUAAUGGAAUUAUAGAGAAUGUUACAUAUGAACAUGAAAAGUAUUAGAUUAAUGAUUAAAUUUAUUUAUUUAGAUCCGAAAAAUUCAAAUAGGAAGCAAGAUCGAGGAAAAGAAAAAGUUUGGGAUUAGUAGAUUUUUGGUUACGAACAAGUGACGAGGUAAGUUCGUGUAACUUGAAUUAUAUUCUUAAAUGCUUGAAAUAUAUUUUUCUUGAUGUGAAUAUGAUUUAGAUGUUUAUUGUAUGAUAAUUGAUGAAGUAUUGAUAUUCUUGAUGAAAAGGGAAAAUAAAUCUCAGUUGAAUGAAAGGAAAAUUCGAUGGAUCUCUGAAAAGGAAUUGAUGGUAAAAAGGAUCUAGCCCGGACGGGUGAUCCUAUCCUGAUAUAGCCCUCCCGAAGAAUAUGUGGAAAAUGGAUUUAGCCCGGACGGGUAAUCCGAAUUAGGGUCUGAAUUUAGCCUGGACUGGUAAUUCAGAUCCAAACUCAUUAGAGUAAUUGUCGCUGCAGGGGAUUUAGCCUGGACUGGUAAUCCCGACAAUACUCUAUGAGUUUAUAUUACAGGGGAUUUAGCCUGGACUGGUAAUCCCGCUGUAAGGAUGAGGUUCGCGGGAGUGUGCUAUCUGAAAUAGAAAUGUGAGUACAUGAAUAUGAAUUAACGGACCCGGAUUUGUACACUAAAGUGUACCUCUGAAAAUCCAUCGAAAUUUCGAGAAAUUCAACGGGAUAAAUAUGGAAAAUAAAAAGGGAAUGGAAAAUAUGGGAAUUGAUAAGCUCAUCAAUCAUUUGUCUUUGUAAUGAAUUUAUAUGAUGUUUACUUAACUAAUGCAAAAGUUGAGUUUGUAUGUGAUAGGUAUAUGUUUAUGUGAAUUGGAUGUGUGCUUGUGCUAUUAAAUGAUAGGUGUAUAAUAUGGUAAGUAUAAUUCUUGUUGCAUGAACUUACUAAGCACAAUGUGCUUACCCCGUUCUCUUUUUUCCCUAUUUUGUAGUGCCCGGGAGCUCGAAGGUUGGAGAUUAGUCGGAGCUUUAUCACACUAUCAACCCAUAUCUUUUGGUAUUUGAAAAUGACUUAUUUUGAAAGAAUGGCAUGUAUAGACUAAAUACCAAUAUUACAUAGAAAUGAAUGUUUGUAACUUAGCUGUUGGUAUGGCUAGAGUAAGUAUAACUUUGAAAUUUUGCGAAAAAUUUCUUAUGGCUUCGAUUUAAUAUCAGUUUAGUCCCGAUGUAUGUUUUGGGCUUCGGAGGCCCAUCCAAGGGACGUCAUGACAUGAUUCGAUAAAUGAAUAGUAAUUAAACUCGUAAUAACAGAAAAAUUAAUUCAGUAAAAUCUGGUAAUGCCUCGUAUCCUAUUCCGGCGACGGAAACGGGUAGGGGGUAUUACAAUGUAUGCCUAACUUUUGGUUAUAUCAUGCUCACCUAUGAGCAAGGUAAGUGUUUUAAUUCCAUUUGAACUUAUUAAGCAUUUAAAUGCUCACUCUAGUUGUUUCUCCUACUUGUAGAUCAUCACAACUUGCAAAACUCUCAAAGCCGAAUCUUUACGAAUGUCACACUAUCAUUGAAAUGAUAGAAAUAUGUUUAUUUUGGUUCCUAAAGUUGAGUUAUGUAUAUAGGAUCAUUGUGUUUUGUAAUGGUCAUCCUUAAUUAUGAUUGCUUAUGUUAUGUUAUGUUAAUGGCCAAGACUAUGUUGUUUGCUAAGUUUAUAUAUGGUCUAAUAUAAGUCUAAUGUGAUCAUAUCAAUGCCUUUUGAAUCCUCAAUUUUUAAAGCUUACAUGGACCUUAUAUGUUUGAACUUCGAAAUAUGGCAAUUUGAUAGAUUAAGAUUGGUGAAUGGCUUGAAUGAGUUAGGUUUUGAUCAUGUGUUUGGUGCCAAUUGAUAGGGAUUCUAAAUGUGUUAUAAACUCAGCUUGGUAUGGUUUGGGAUAAUUUGAUGCAUAGAUGAAAUUGGUAUAGGCAUGUGUUUGUAAGAAAAAAAAAUGUGUUUGAUUGAAAGUAUUAAAUGUGUGCCAAAGUGAUUCUUGCCAAAACAGUGGUGACGUUGCGACUACAAGUCCCCAACGUCGUGACAUGGAUCGACAGCGAGUGACGUUGCAACGUUGAGAUGUUUGAAGUCAUAACAUAACUCAUUGAUUAAUGAUGUCGCAAUGUCAACUUGCAAAUUUUGAAAACUUUACAAUUUAGUCAUUAAUCGACCUUGAAUUAGUGAAAGGUCACAAUGUCAACUUGCAAAUUUUGAAAACUUUACAAUUUAGUCAUUAAUCGACCUUGAAUUAUUAAAAGACCUUUCAUAAGCUCGUAUAAGAACAUAAAAUGUUUUUGUAUCAUAUUGAAAAUGUGUUUUAUACUAAUGAGCAUGCUAAAAUGAUUGAAUUGUAUUGAAGCUUGUUGUAGUUGCUUUGGUUACAAAUGUAGCAUCCCGUAACUCGGACUCGACGAUAGGGUCAGGAAAGGGGUGUUACAAGGAGUCUACUGAUGGAGGAAAAACUUCUACUUUUUACCAACCUCCUCAUAGCACCGUUCACCUGCUGAAGGCGAAUAUGAAAAGGGUUGAUUUUCUGAGCACUAUUACUUUAGUUUGAUCAAGACUUUAGCCCUCUUUUGUAACCAAAAAAAAUGAAAAAGAAAAAAAAUCAUUGGAGAUGGUUGGUUUUAAGACCCUUAAUAAGGCAAUUAAAUAAUUAGGUUUGUUUGGAUAAUUAAAUGAAAAGAAAAAUAAAUGUGAAAUUAAAAAAAGAUAUCAAGAGGAAAUGUCUUCUUUAUCGUCAUGAAAAAAAAAACAAAGAAAUAUCAAGAGGAGACAUGGGUUUGAAUCUUGGAAAUGAUAUUGUUGAGAGGGAUAAUCAUGAACUUGGAUCAUAAAACAAAUAUGAACAUACUUAAAAAAAAAUCCAUUUUUUUAGAACUAUUUUAAUUUGAAAAGGGUAUUUUUUUUAAAAAAAUAAUUUUUCAAUAAUAAUUUUUUUGUAACUUUGAACAACUUUUGCAACAUUUUACAUUUUUAUAUUAUUAUCAAUCGUAUUUAAAAUGAAAUUGGACAAAUGAUUGUCCUCAAAUUAAUGAACCACCACUUGUGUAAGUUCAUUCUUUAUUUUAUUAAUUUUUGAAGAUUUCUUUAAAAAAUUAAAUUUUAUAAUUUUUUUUGUUUGGUCAACAACCACAUUAUCAAUCAAUGCUUAACACAUGGCAUGUUCUCAUUAGCUGAGUGGACCACCUUUCACACCAUUAACUUUUGGGGCCAAAUACUAUAAUAAAGCAAUAGUUUAAGUAAUGAGAUAGAAUAAAAGUUCAAAUACUUAAGUGAGAAAAAGUGUAUAGUAAACUUGAAUAAAGCAUAAAUAUUAUGAAAUUUAAAAUUGAUUCGUCUAAAUGAAUAGGACUUUUUUUUUUUAAGUUAGGAUUAAUCUUACGUGUAAAUUUAGAUUAAGUUAAAAUAUGUUAUAGGUUCUUGUACUCUUUACAAAUUUGGAAGAAAUUUAGGUUUUUUAAAUUUUAAAUUUCAAAAUCCAAAUUCAAUUUGUUAAAUUUAUCAAUGCGACAUUUUGAAAUAAUAAUAAAAACUCACUUAAUAGUAAUAUAAUUAAUAUUUAAUAUUUAAUAUUUAAUAUUUAAUAAACUUGAAUUUAAUAAAAUAAUUUUAAUAGUAUUAAUAGGUAGAUCUAAAUUUUGAAAAUAAAUAAAUAAAUAAAAUUUUAAAAAUAAAAAUAAAAAAAUUACAAAAAGAUACAGACCUUAGGUUGGUGUAACCCCAGGAACUGGUUUGGGAUGCAAGUAAGGUUGUCUCUAGAACUUCCCACAAAGAAACAGCUCGUUUCAAUGGGACAGCCACCGCCAGGAACCUGCAUUUAUUAAACCCCAUUAUUAUGGGAAACGAGACACUAAUUUCUUUAUGGACCAAUGAAUGCAGUUGUUGUUUUCAGAAUUUAUUAAGCAAGUCCCUCCACACACACACACACACAAAAAUCUCCAUUUUCCUUUUCAAAGAGGAAAAAGUAGAGAUAUAGCAGUGGUGCGUGUCACAAAUGACUCGUGAUUCUCAAUCCAAUAGCGAAAUGGUCUUCAAUGCUGUGUUGUUUAUAUUAGAGAAAGACUACAAGCAACUUAAUUAGUCUCAAACUCCAACCUAACUAACUAAAUUUCUAUUUGUUUAUACCAAAGGUGUUAGCAAUCAUGCAUUUGGCUCCUAGUUUCUCAUUACAUUUAAUUCACACCCGACAAAAAAUUCUUAAUUUCAAUCUCCACAAAACAAAAGAGAUAAAUUCCCAAGAACGUGUAUGCAUGGAGUUUUGUGUGUUUUAUGCUGUGAAAAAUAAAUGCUGUCACCUAACUGAAACCCACCAAAUUUAAAGAGCAAAGGGAGUCCCAAGUCGAAAAUCGAAUAUUUUAAUGCAUGCCCAUUAAAGCUCCAAACAAUCACCUUUUAGUUCCACAACACGUAACCAAAAGUAUCUAUACUUAUUCGGGUUUUAUUUAUUUACUUUAAAAAGAAAAACAUUAAACUUCAUUAGCAAUUCCUAAACUGAGGGUAAGCUCUUAAAAUAUCUUAUAGUUUAAGCUCACUUUAAUUUCCAUCUCCUAAUAAGUACAUUAUCAAUCUACCAACUCCAAAUUAAAACCAUUUAUCUACACUUUAAGAAAUAUUGCUUCUCUCCCAUCAUUAUCAUUGAUAUACUAAAUAUAUCAAGGAAUAUGCCAAGUCUCGUUGAUCCAAGCCAAUCACGCACCAUACCCAAAACUUUGUUUUCAUGUCCAAUGGCUUCAAGACAAAUGCCCUCUCACCAACUCUCAGCAAUUAAAACUCUCAACAAACUUCAUCUGCCUCAGCCUAUUAAAGGGUUGUAAAUGUUAGUAUUCAAACUACUGGAUACCACAUUGUAGGAGUGGUCUUCCCAUCAUUAAAAUCAUUCACACCAGCUUUACCAAUCACCUAUUUGCUAUUUAUGAUACAAACCAGGAAAGUUGGAAUGAAACUGAAAUAUGGCAUGUAAGCUUGUUAUACUGUUCUUCUUUGUUAAUCUCCUAAUGCAAAUACCAAAAGUAAGGGCAACAGUUCCUGCAAUUAUCGUUUUCGGAGAUUCUACGGUGGAUCCAGGGAACAACAACCAAGUAUCUACAGUUCUAAAGAGCAACUUCGAGCCAUAUGGCAGGGAUUACUAUGGUGGUCAGCCAACAGGACGUUUUUCUAAUGGAAGGAUUGCAACAGACUUCAUUUCUGAAGCCCUCAGGAUCAAGCCAGCCAUACCUGCAUAUCUGGACCCGAAGUAUGACAUAGAAGAUUUCGCUACCGGAGUUUCCUUUGCUUCAGCCGGGACUGGUUAUGACAAUGCUACUUCUGAUGUGCUAGUAAGUCGAGCUACAGAUUGGUGAUAAGUUAACCGUCUUACCAUGUGAAACAGAAGUCAUGCAGUGAGUUGUAAAUUUUUGUUUGCAUCAGGUUUUCCAUGAAUGUUGUUAAAUUCCAUUUUGAUUCUUGCCUGCAACAAAUGACAAAAGAUUUCAGUUUCAACAUGUUCUUUUAAUCUAGUUCAGUACAUUUAAUCAACUAUAGACAACAGGUCAUCAAUUACAACUUACAAAAGCCAUUUUCUUGAAUUUGCAGUCUGUCAUACCAUUUUGGAAGGAACUGGAGUACUACAAAGAAUAUCAGAACAAGCUAAGAAAACAUCUAGGCAAAGAUGAAGCUAAUCAACGUUUUUCUGAAUCAUUGCACCUAAUAAGCAUAGGAACCAAUGACUUUUUAGAGAACUACUACAUUUUUCCUACCAGAUCUUCGGAGUAUUCAGUUGACGAGUAUCAGAGCUUUCUGAUAGGAAUUGCCAGCAAUUUCAUCAGAGAGCUUUACAAGCUCGGAGCUCGGAAGGUAGUCAUUGGCGGCCUUCCUCCAAUGGGAUGCUUACCAUUGGAAAGAACAACAAAUAUGUUCUUUGGAAGUGACUGUAUCGAUGAGUAUAAUGAUGUGGCUAAAGAUUUCAACAAGAAGUUACGGGGUGCAGUCACAGAGUUGAAACAGGAGCUUGGUGGAAUCCAUCUGGUUAUGUCAAGCCCCUACGAUAAGCUCAUGGAAAUGAUUCGGAAUCCAAGUCACUUUGGUAAGUCAUUAUCGAUAGUUUACAAAAGUUAAACUACUGUUACUAAGGUCAUAUAUAAAGAAAAAGAAUACCUAGAAUAAGAGCACAUCCACUACUUGAAUCCAAUCACCUAACUUGUCCAAACGGUUAACUACUGUUUUAUGCCAUCCACAUGGGUCAGAUAUUAUGUACAAAACUAGUCUAGUAAAAUUAACCAUGUUGAACCCCGUAAAUAGCGCAGUUACUUCAUUCAGCUUCCCUUAAACGGUAGCAUAUAUCAAAUCUUGUUUGGAAUCCUAGCAUCUACAAGCCUUUCCUUAUCCCUGAUUAUGGCUUCCUUCGUACCCAAGAUAUUCAGUAAUAUAAAUGAUUUUGCAUGCGUUUUAUUAGAGACAUUGCUUACCUCUACGGCCAUGAGAUGAUCCUUUGACUUCAAGCAUGAAUGGACUAAGACAUAGAAGGCCGAUAUACAAAAACACAAUCAUGGAUACAAGUAUAUGAAACCAGACAGAAACUAGGUACUUUCAUGCCCCCCAUGUUGUCACUUGCCUUGAGCAAGCCUCAAGAACUCAUUCACUAGUUUCAUCCAAUGAACUUUUUUGUUUAAAACAUGCAUAAAACCAUGCAAUAUCAUACCACCUAAUAAUGAAGAGCCAUAACACCAUAAAAACAAACCUUUUCAGGCAAAGCAAAGCAAUCUCUGUGUGUGUGUGUGUGUGUGUUUGGAUGUGUUCUUGAACCUAUGUGCGCACAGUAUGAAUGCAGAUGUAAUUAGGCAAGUGUUUUAACAUACUUCUCCUCUUAUGGUAAAUUUCUUAUAAAUUUUCUACAUUACAGGAUUUGAAGAUGCAGAAACAGCAUGCUGUGGGACUGGAUUCUUCGAGAUGAGUUACCUGUGUGAUAACAUGAACCCAUUUACAUGUUCAGAUGCCAAUAAGUAUGUAUUCUGGGACGCCUUCCACCCGACAGAGAAAACAAAUGCCAUUUUGGCUGAUUAUGUGGUCAAAACUACCCUAGCCGAGUUCCAAUAAUUACUAAAAGUAAAAGAAAGCAGCACUGCUUCAUUGUUGUAGAUGCCAAUAAGUAUGUAUUCUGGGAUGCCUUCCACCCGACAGAGAAAACAAAUGCCAUUUUGGCUGAUUAUGUGGUCAAAACUACCCUAGCCGAGUUCCAAUAAUUACUAAAAGUAAAAGAAAGCAGCACUGCUUCAUUGUUGUAGAACUAGUAUUAGUAGGCAUUAUAUUUACUAUUGCCUUUUCAACUACAUCCAAUGAAGGAAAAUAUAGAAAACAAUAAGUCAACUGGAUGAAUGCAUGUUAGAUGAGAAAACAUAAGAACAAGUUCAAACUUCAAAUCAAGCAAGUUAUCCCCCCCCCCAAGAGAAAACAGCUAUUUCUGUUGUGAUCUAAGAGGUUCUGCAAUUUUUUUUAUUUUGGAAGAGUGGUUUUGCAAAAUAAUUGCAAGAAAGAACCAUUCAAUAUUUCAAAAUCUAAUAGACGAUAUUGCUGUAAGAAGAGAAAACAGUUAGAUUCAGAAAAGCUUCCUAAGAGAUCCCACCAUAGAAAUGGACAUUGUCUACUCGAAUAAGAUUAACAAAUAAAAUUGUUCUUCAUUAUAAACUAAGAUCCUUCAAAGAAAAGGUUUCGUUGAGAGGGAAAGCCUAAAUUUUAAUAAGAAAUUUGCUCCAAACUAUCAAAUAUCAGCAUAUACAAAUAAUAAUAAUAAUAAUAAUAAACUGAUUUAAAAGAACAUGAAGCAGCUAGAGAUCUUCAAUGACAAGAUAUGGGAGACACUCGGUGCAGCACAACUUGAAUCCUUCGGCUUAUUUUGGCACUUUAGGAAAAUGCAGUUUGAUAAGUGCAGGAAGUUCAGCCAGCUCAACUUGAGGCUUGCCCAAUAAAAUACUCCUCAAUUUCUCAUCACAAUUGACAAGAUUCUUGUUGUUUGGAUCCUAAUCAAGAAAAAGUGACAUGCUGAGAGAUCUUUGGGUAAAUUUGUGUAUAUACCAGGGCAUCAAGACUAAAAGUUCAAAAUCAAUCUAUGAGUAUAAGGUUCAAAGAGUAGAGAAUGAUUCCAAAAAAUGAGAAUUACAAACUUUAUGAGCCCAGUGCUGAAUUGCCAGCCAUGAUAAACAAUUAAACAUACAUAAGAAAGCCUUCAUAACAAAUAAAAUCAUUUAAGAACCACUAGACUCUAGAGCAAGUGGUGGUGACAACAGCGGUGCCCAUGAAUUCCAUCUUAUAGCAUCAAACUGUCUAUGAUAAAAUGAAUGAUCCAAAACAUGAUUAACAUUUCCUGGGACAUACAAUGCAAACCUGUAGAGAGAUGAUAUCAUUAUCAUCAUGAACACACAUCUUCACAAAUUGUAGUAAAACAUUAUCAUUCAUGGAAACAAUGAUAUAAAGAUGCCAAAUGUUUGAUAAUAAACACCUGAUACAGAUAAAAUACUCAUUUGAAAACUCAUAUUAACCCCCGGGGGGGGAGGCUAUUUGUCCCUACUUAAACAUCACAACAACUUACCAAUCCAACUCUGACAUGCUAAUAACGAAUUGGAAGACCCAACUAUCAAUGAACCAUGAGAUUUAUUCAAUAAUCUACAGGCAACGCCAGGGAGUGCAAAACAAUAGGAAAAAGAUAUGGGUGAAUAAAGCCUCUCCAAGAUUCGUUUACAAACAUUUGAUUGAACAGAGGAUAGACCUAAGAGUACCUGAAGAUUGUUCUCUUUGAUAUAAGACCAAACACGAAAGAAGCAACCCAAACGUGAAAUCUGAGACUGACCCACAAAUUCUCUAACUGGGGAAGGAAGAUUUGCAAGGUCAAUCAAGUUAGCAAGCUUCUUGGGGUUAUCAGUGAUUGUCUUCUUCAGUCUCUGUGGCAGCAUUUUUUCUACCUCCUUCUCUUCUUCCUCGCUAUAUAUCCAAAAAACCAUACAUCAAACACUUAACAAAAUAAUAAUAAUAAUAAUAAUAAUAACAAAUUUUCAACACCCAAUGAAUUUUAAGAAAAAAAUUUAUGUUCUUUGCUGCUAAAAAAAGCAGUACAAGCUUAAGCUUCUGGGGAAUUUUAUCAAACAGUUGGCGCCAUUUGGUUAUCGAAUUCGUAACCUUCUACAUUCGUUGUCAAUUGCUAAAAUUAAUAGUUUUGUUAGAAGAUAGUUCAGCUGGUUUACCUGAAGAGGAACGGGAUGGCGGCAAAGUUCAGGGGUUAAAAUGGUAAAGAGAAGCAGUUCUGAAUACCAAACUUCAAGGUUUUGCAGGCGAGAGAGAGAGAGGGAAACGAAAGCGUGAGUAAAGGGCACUUAGUAAGAACUGAUGGUUGCUUUGCUUGAGUUCUUCAAAACGGCAAGGGUAGUAAUAAUGAAACCACAAAUUUUAUAUGUGUUUUAUUUUUUAUUUUUGGUAAUUUUUAUUAUUUUUAAUAGUUUUUGGUAAUUUUCUACAAAUUUAUAUAUUCCUUUUAUAUUUUUGCAAUUUUUUCAUAAAUUUCUUAUCUUUUAUAUUUUUUUAAUUUCAAGGCUAAUAUAAUAAAACAGCUAGUUUUGUAAUUAAAUAAGUCACUAACUUGAUUUUAAUUUAUAACUAAAAAUAUUUAAAACUUUUUAACUAAUUUGUCUUUUAUGUUGUGAAUUUGAUAAGAAUACAUAACACCAUCACUCUUUUUAAAAUUGUAUGUUGACGUUAAAGUAUAAAAUUUCUACUGCCUCGUUAAGAAAUUAAAAGACUGAAAUUUCAAAAAAAAAAAACUUUAAUAUUAAAAUCAAUGAUUUUUAUAGACAGAAACCAUAACCACAAAAGGGUGAAUUGUCAGAAAAUUUCACUUUUUCUUUAAUAUUUAUCAUAUUAGACCUUUUUUAAUAUUCGUGGAAUUAGGCCGAUUUUUUAAAACACGCUAAGUUAGACGAGUUUUGAUCAUACUUUGCAAGAAAACACGUUGAGUUGGACAUAUUUUCAGUGAAUGUUGCAGGAAAACGCUACCAGUUAGACGCGCUUUCUUGCUUUGUCAGUAAAACACUUCUAACUGGAUGCAUUUUUCCCAAUGGCUAUCCCGAGUGAAUUCCAACAACUACUUUCCACCCCCAACAGUAAAAAAAAAAAAACCUAUUUAAAACCCCUCAAUUCCAUUUUUUUUCAAUUCACUCUCAAUUUCUUUCAAUUCUCUCAAAUUUUAUAAAAAUUGUCUUAAGAAUUUUUUAUUUAAUUUUGUAUUAUGAAAUUUAAUCGUUUUUUUUAAUUCUUAAUGGUCAAUUUUCUUAUUCGUUUGGAUGACAAACACAUUUCAGUCUUCUAAUUGCAAAUGGUAAAAAUAAUAUUUAUAUUAUUUUUAAUCUAAUUUAAUUUCAUUAUUAAAUUGUUAUAUUGAAAUUUAAAAUUUUGUAUGUUUUCUUUUAUAAGUAGGUGGAAGAUUGAAUUUUGGAGACAUAUAUUAAACAGUCUUGACGCAAUACCCGUGACAACACACGUAUGCGAAGCGGUAUAUUUCUUGAUAGUCCAUAACCCCGUCUUUUUCUUCAUAGAAGUCAUGAUUUUCCAUGGACAUCUACUAUCUUGCAUUGCACAUUUCGCCUCGAAUUUCUCUGAUCGAGAUUUAACAAUGUAGAAGUUUACUCUAUUCUUUAUGUUGUAUCACUUCAUUGCUACGACAAAAGCAUCUUUAGAGGAGAACUCAUUCUCCACUUCUAAAUCAUCAGCAUCCAACAAAGAACUCGCAUGGUCCGAUUCUGUGUGGGAGUUCUGAAAACACCAACCCACCUUCUGCUGAGAGAUCUACAUUAUGCAUAUGGGUCGGAGGUGAGUAUGUCCUGAAUUGUAGAUCUUCUUCGACGGCUUCAUUCGUACCUUCAUCGUCUGAACCUCUAUCUUCUAGUUCAGUUGGAACCGGUUCUGGUUUAGAAAAUAAUGUAAUUUCUAAAUCAUCCAGCCCAGACUCCUACAUUGGAUUGUCAUUGGUUUUAGUGUCCUCUUCAAUCUCAACCCCUCUAGCAUGUCCAAGGUUGGAUGUCCCUUCACCGGUAGAGGUUGUAGGGAGUACAUCAUCCAUUCUUGUAUAGUUGUCGGUACAACCAAAACCACCUGCAGAUUGUCCACCGGUGGAACUUAAUGUCAUACCCCUGUAAGUGUUCCCGACGUAUAACAUCAGACUCUCAAAGUUGAAAUCAAAACUACUAACAGAGUGUCAUGUCAGGGUGUUGACUGCCUAUAAAUGAGUUACCGUUUACAGAAUAAAUAUAACACCAAAAAUACAAGAGUUAAGAAUGAUGGUGUCCGGAAGUGCACAGGUCAAAUUGUAAUAUAAUUUUACAACGAAAUACCAGAAGUAUUCUGAGAAUCAUACCCAAAGGAGGAUGAAAUAAAUAAUGAAAAAUAUUUUUUACAAUAAUAAGUCUAAAUAGUAGUAAUUAUUUCCUAUAUACUAUUAACCAUAAAAAUAGAUUAAGAACAAUAAAAAUAAAUAAACAACAAAAAUAAAUAAAUAAAGAAAAAUAAACAAAUUAAUUAAAUUGAUAAACCAAUCAGGAAGAUUAACUCGUUUCAUGGUUUGUAACUAACUUCGGAUUAAGGUUUUGAGAUGGAUUAGUAAUCGAUUAACUAAUUAUUACCUCUCGGUCUCUAAUUAACUAAUUGAUUCAUUGAUAAUAUUCGCUUAUCUCCCGACCUCACUUUCUCAACCAAGAUAAUUACGAUUUACUCAAUUUGACUUAUCUUCCGACCUGUUCUAGCUUAUGAUAACUUAUUAGGGUUGUCAAGCCUAACAAUUUAAAAACACAUAAUUUAUACCAACUAAUCCUUCUUGAAAAACCCCAAAUUCUUUGUUAAUCACAUCCUCAUCCACUCAUUAAUCUCCCCUAAGAUAUUUAGUCACUCAUGCUUUUAAUAAUCCCAACUUCGAUUGAACAAACCAAGUGAAAAACAAAACCAACUUGGAGAAGAAAAGAGAUUUGAAUAAUUGUAGAUUGAAUAUAAAAUGAGGAACGAAAUAACAAAUCUCUCGAUUGAAAUAAAGAAAUAAAACAAAUGUAAAUAAAAUUAUAAUCGAAUACUUUUAAUUAAAUAAACACGUUAUUGAAUCAAAACUAAUUCAAGAAGAAAAACAAGAAAGUUAUGAAAAGUCGAAAAGAAAAUAAACUACAACUGCUUUUAAACUACGAGGGUUUUUUGAAGGCGUCUAGGAUGACUUGAUUAUAUUCAACCCUUAAUGUCUUAUUUAUAGAGGUGUCAACAAUUCAUAUUAGGUGUUUGGCACGUCCUAGGUCUUCAUAUAAGUUUGAUUGCGUAGACAAAAAUUACCCCAAAAUACAUAGGCAGCACGUCGGCUUUAUGUCGCACCACACACCUUGCAUGGUGUGACACGACACCCAAAUACUAUCUUGUCUCGUUCAUUUUGUGCUUUGAUGUUCAGGAAAGCUUGUACAUCAUUCGACCCUUACUUCCACGUCAAUUGGACCUUUAUAUAUCCAUCUUACACACUGAAUUAAACCAAUUAGCACAAUCUCAGGCCCGUGUCAGUCUAUUGGGUCACAACACCUACAAACUGUUUAAAAACACUUAUUUUUAUUAACUUUCAAUCCUAAGGUCUAAUUACUGAAAAAGUUGUCGAAACCAUUUUUUUAUUUGAAAAAUGGAAAUCGAUUUUGAAAAUGGAGUGGCCACCAAUCUUUUAUUGGGGUGUGAUCAGGUCACCUUAAAAAUGAUUUUAGGUCUACAAAUUUUGAGAAAACAAGUUCGGGAGUCGGUUACGCACAAGGAAGGGUUAACACCCUCGUAACGCCCAAAAUUGGUACCGAAUUAAUUGUUUAAUGUCUUAGUGUCGAAACUUGAAAAGAUUUUUAAAUACGAUCCCAUGAAAUGAAAGCUUAAAUAAUUGAAUUGGCUAAAUAGACGGACCUAUUUCAAAGAGAUAAAUCGCCACACUCAGUAAGUUAGAGUGCAGCAAUUCAAUCUUCGGAGCUAGAUUCGUCUUUCCUUUUUAAAAAUUUUUAAAAAAAUCAUAUGUUUUAAGAAGGAUAUUUGAUUAUUUAAGCCAAUCGAGAAAUCAGAAUCCAGUAAGUUAGGGUUCAAUUUCUCGAAAUUCUUAAACAUCAAAUAUUGCCUUUAUUUUAAAAUCGAGACAACAAAAUGUCAUAUCCAGUAAGUUAGGAUCCAACAUUUUGAAAUCUUAAGAACUUUAUUUUAACAAUUGUAUGGUUUUAAUAAAAUGAACACUUGAUUAUCUAAAUUCAUCGAGAAGAAUUGAAGCCCAGUAAGUUAGGGCACAAUUCUCUUGAGAACUUAUGAACACCAAGCUAUUUUAGGAAUUAUGAAAUAAAAUGAUUAUAGUGCUUUAAUAAAAUACAACUCUUACAAAUGAAACAUGAUUGAAUAACAAUACAUAAAAUGCAAAAAAAAAAAAAAUAGCAAUAUAAAUUUACACUAAGGAGCAAUCAAGCAUGUAAUACAUCAACAUUGAUAAUUAUGCAUAUAAUAAAUUAAUAAUCAGUUUUCUAAAGAUACUUUGAUUAGAAAUAAAAUAAAAUAAAAAUAUAGUUAAUAUGGAAAUUUAAAAACAAUUUGAUAAUAAAUAACCAAAAUAAAGUAAAGGAAAUAAAUAAUUUUUAAGAAAGAGAGUAUUUAUGCAUUGAAAAAAACUUUAUAAUUCGAAAUUAAUAAUAUAUUUUAUACACAUGUACACCAAAAAUAAUUCCAUAUAAAUAAUAUAUACAUAUAUAUAAAAGAACCAUGUAAUAUUAUUGUGAAAAUAAAAUUUGAGUUAUAUUAUGAAAUACAUUAUUUAAAAAUAAUAAGUAAUUUAUCAAAUUUUUAUAAAAAUAUAUCAAGAAUGAUGGAAACAAAUAAUAAUAUAUCAAGUUGGAAAAUAAAAGUGUACAAUAGAAAUUUUGAAAUAAUGUUUAAUAAAUUUAAAACAUAUUGAUAAUAAUAAUUUGAAAGAAUUGUGUAUUAUAUCUUAAAAUUAUAUUAAUAAUCAGUUUGAAAACAAUAUUAAGCCAAUAUUAAAAUAAUAUUAAAAAUAACGGAUUAAUAUGAGAAUUGAUUUAUUUUUAAAAAAUACUUUUGAAGGCAAAAUUAAAUAUGAAAAAAAACUUUUUUUUUAAAUUAACAACAAUAAUUAUAAUAAUAUCAACAAAUUUUAAAAUCGAAGCUUAAAUAAAAUUAGUAUAAAAAAGGAAAAGAAAAUUAAAUAAAUAUACAAUAGACUCAAAAUAUUGGUGUAUAAUGAAUUUAAAAAUAUUAAAAAAAGCUAAAAUAAUAAUUUAUUACAUUUUAAACUAUAAUAAUAGUAAAUUUAAACACUAUCAAAAUCAAAUAUUACAAAUAAUAUUAAAUUUUAUAAUAUAUGAAAGUAGGAUUAAUUACAUUUAAAAAUAUUAUUGAAUUAAAAAUGAAAACUAAAUUUGCAUUAAAUUGAAACAUAUUUCAACGUUGAAGGACUAAAUCAGCAAUUAAACGCUAAACCUGAAUAAUCAAAAUCAAUAGCAGAAAACGAUGCCGUUUAGGCUUGGAUCCAAAUGAAAACAGAAUUAAAUAUGCAGUACAAAUUAAAAAAACUGAAGAAAAUUAGAUUGAAACUACAUAAAACAUAGAGGGACUCAUUUCGCAAAUAAACCGACGAACGAAACGCGUGGCUCCUGCCCCGGGUCGGGUCACCGCGCGGAUACCUGCGUCAUACCACGUCGUUUUGAGACCACAAGGCCCGGCCUCAAACGACGCCGUUUCUAGCUAGACAUAAAAACUAAAGUAACCCUAAUUUAAACAGACUCUUCUUCCUAAAAAAAAGAAAAGCAGAGACUUAAAAUGAGCAGAUCCUCGGUGUCACAUUUUGGAACCUACUGCUCAUGGGACCUUCAACCCUCGCCCGGCUCCAAUUGUGACGGAGCGAACGACGGUCAGGUAAGUUCCUUGCUCUUUUUUCUUUUCUACUUCAAUAUUAAUCAAUGAACAAAGGAGCAGAAAAAAAAAACAAAGAAAAGAUUAACUAUCACCUUUCGAAUUUUUCUUUUCACUGAAAAUGAGUUUUUUUGUAUUCAAUUUCUCUGAAUGCGUAACUGUUUACAGUCUAUUCUUGGAUUUUUUAUAGCCUGAUUUUUUUACAAGAGAAAAAGAAAAUUAAAAUAAAUAAAAGGAAAAUUGCCCCGUCCUUGUUAUUCUGUUAUUUUCUUUUGCUCUCAUUUUCGUGUGUUUGCUUGCAGGUACUCGGCCAGCCUGGAGGUGCAUCUGUGUGGAGAUGACGCACGCGCCUAGUGGCGAUGCACGCGCAAGGUUUGUUGGAUUCAUCUAUGGCGCUGAAGCAGGGGUCUGUUGUGGCUUCACCAGAUUAGUCUAGAAACCACUAGGGUUUCUAAUUUUGGGUUGUUUGGGCUCGAUGUAUUCGGGUUUGGGCUUGGGUAAUGUAUUUUGGGUUUGGUUAUUUAAUUUCUGGUAUGUAAUUAGGUGGUGUAUUGGGAUGACUAGGUUGAGUAUUAGGAAAUUUGGGUUGGGCUAUUUUUGGCCUGCUGUUGUAAUGAAAAACUGGACAUUUUAUUAUUAUUUAUUUUAUAUAUUUUUCAUAUCUGGGUUUUAAUAGUUGGGCUCGGGCCGGAAAAAAUUUGGGUAUUACAAACGUAAAAUAAAAUCCUAAAUUGCCUAGAAAACAAGUUCAAAAAAUAGACAUUUUCUGUUAAUUCACACCUACAGAAAUAAUUUAAGUGUUUGUUUAAAUAAAGUUUAGAUAUUUUUACUAUAUUAGUACAUUUUUAAUAGAGACGGAUAGAAGGCAUGAGUUACUGGCAUGGUGAAACAGCGAAGCCCCCAAGACCAAGAGAGAUCUGUUUUAGUAGGCGUUCAUCUCAAACAAAACAAUAAAGUAAAGAAUAAAACCUGAACAAGUGAGCUGGGACUAGGAGAAUCCAAUAAUUGCCUAAAACCCCAACCCCUUCAGAAUCAUAACAUAAACAAAACCCACCACGGUAGAAAAGACAAAUAGGGUUUUUGAAACAAAUUCAGAUUGGGCUUUAUAACUUAAAAUGAAGAAAAAAGUACAGAAAGUCCAGGCUAAGCUAAAUGCAAGUUCUGGCCCAUAAACAAAUCAGAACUGUGGACCAAAUCCUAAAGGAAAAUAGAAAAAAAACAGUCUUUAAGCAACUUAAAAUCAAAAUCUUCUAAAACCUAAUAAAUGCUAUCAUAUCUUGCCCAAUCAGAAAAAAUCCAUUUCUGUCUUUUCAAAAUCAUCUAUUCAUUUCUUCAAAGAGACGUUUCCAGAUUUUAAUGAAGCCUUGUCUGCCACUCCUUUGAAUUAUCACUAUACAGCUUCUUUAACCGUUCACUUCUUCUCAACACAUGUCCUCUGCCUUUCUUUCGAUUUCUUCCAGAUUAGCAGCAUACUCCGGGACUCUUCCAAUCAGGUAAAGUUCUUCUUUUUCCUUUAAUGUCACCGUCGCUAGUUUGUGUGCCAGGUUGUUCGCUUCUCUGGGAAUAUACUCAAGAUAGUAUUUUCCAAAAUUUUUUAACAGCUGAUGUAUAUCUUGGAUAUAUGCUCCGAUUCUGGAUUUAUCAUGGCUUUUCAGUUUGCACUUCUUUAUAAUAGAUAACGCAUCCCCUUCGAUAAUAAUGUUUGACCAUUGCAUGUCCCUACUUAUUUGAGUUGCUGUACGACACGCUAUUGCUUCUGCGGCAAAGGCUGAUGCCACAUGAUGAUGAAUCUCUGUGCAUGAUAAAAGUGUGUUUCCAUCACUAUCCCUGGCCACGAUUCUCGCUGCUGAUUGCCGUGAGUUCCCAUCAAAUGCUGCAUCGAAGUUAACCUUCACAAACUGGACCGGUGGGUACUUCUAUUCCCUGCCUGUUUUUGCUCCAAUCUCAUUCAGUUCACUAAUAUAUCUCUUUCCCAGAUCUAUUAGUCUUUUCAUGCACUCUCCUAUUCCUUUCUCCCCAUAUUGCCCAAAGAGCACAACAAAAGAUCCGUCACCGAUUGGUGGAAUUCUGUUCAAAAACCCAGGUAAGCCAUUGUACAAAAUCCACAUGAGGAACUUGUAAUAACUCUGGGAAUAAUAGCUCUUCCCAUACUGUUCUUGCCACAAGACAUUCACGGAAUAUAUGAUUUGUAGAUUCUACUGCACUGCCACACCCGAUGCAUGUCACAUUGUUUAACAGCCUUCUGUAGUUCAAGUUGACUCGAGUCGGGAUAUAAUUCCAUGAUAUUUUCCAGAUUGAAAUUUUUACCUUAAGAGGUAGAUUAAGGAGCCAUAGGUUUCUGUAGAAAUUUCUAGAAUCAUUUUGUAAAGCAUAAGCACAAGGGUCAUUUUCGAAGCCAGACCAGGAAGUCAUCGUGAGGUUCUUUUGCAAGUGGGAUACAGAAGAUUUUCUCAGAUAUCUCCGCAGGAAAGGUAGCUUCGAUUAGUUCUUUUUUCCAUUCUUUGUUUCUGUCUUCAAUUAGAUCUGCAACUUUAUAUUCCUGCAAAUGCGAUAACCUGGGAUAAUUGGUAAAAUAAAAUGAUAAUUUUGGAUAAUCCGGUAACCAACUAUCAUUAAUGACCGAGAUUACAGUACCCCUCUCUACUUUCCAACAGCUUCCAUCGAAUAGAACACCUCUCGUUGCCCAUAUGCUUUUCCACGCAAAGGAACUAUUAUUCCCAAGAUACGAAUUAAGGAAAUCCGUUUCUGGAAAGUAUUUAGCCUUUAACACCCUUGCAACUAACGAGUUUGGAUUAUUUAGGAUUCGCCAGCCUUGUUUAGCUAAUAAGGAGAUAUUAAAAUUAGCCAUACUCUUGAAACCUAUACCUCCUUGUUCUUUUGCUCGGCACAUAUUUUGCCAUUUACACCAGUGAAUUCCUCUUUUUCCUUGCUUCUUUUGCCACCAAAAGGUGGCGAAUAAUUUUUCCAAUUCGUCACAUAGGGAAUUAGGGAGAAGAAAGCAUGACAUAGCAUAAGUCGGAAGUGCCUGAAGUAUGGAUUUAAUGAAAACUUCCUUGCCUCAUUGUGAUAAUAGUCUGGUGCUCCACCCUUUAAUUAUGGAGUUAACUUUAUCUUUUAGAUAUUGAAAAGCCUCCUUUUUCCGUCUUCCAACUACAUUAGGAAGGCCCAAAUACUUCUCCAUAUUUGUUGACCCUCUUAUACCUAAGCUCACUGAAACUUCCUCUCUAUCUCUGGUUGAUGUAUUCGAGCUAAAGUAAAUUGUAGAUUUUUCAAAAUUAACACAUUGGCCCGAACAUACUUCAUAUUCCUUAAGGAUUUCUUUUAGCACCCUUACAUCCUUGUUAGUUGCUUCUCCGAACAGAAUGCAAUCAUCGGCAAAAAGUAGAUGUGAAAUCGCUGGUCCUUUCCUGCUUGCCUUGACUCCUCUUAUUCGUCCUUCUUUCAAUGCUAAUCUCAUUAGUGCCGAAAGACCCUCGCUGCAUAGUAGAAAAAGGAAAGGACUAAGUGGGUCACCUUGUCGUAGUCCUCUAGAAGAUUGAAAGAUUCUUCCCCCUUUUCCAUUAAUAUUGACUGCAUAAAAAGCUGUAGUAAUGCAUUUCAUAAUUAAACCGACCCAUUCUUUUGCAAAACCCAUUCUCAACAUGACUUCCUUAAGAAAACUCCACUCAACCCUAUCAAAGGCUUUGCUCAUAUCAAGUUUAACUGCCAUAAAGCCUUUCUUACCUGUUCGUUUUCGUCUAAGAGUGUGUAGGAUCUCAUAGGCUAGCAAUAUGUUAUCAGAAAUUAACCUUCCUGGGAUGAAAGCACUCUACGACAGAUCAAUACACUGCCCAAUAACCCCUUGAAGUCUGUUGGCUAUUACUUUCGCCACAAUUUUGUAGAUAACAGUACAUAGACUGAUAGGUCUGAAACUUGUUAUGUUUUUGGGAUUCUGUGCUUUUGGGAUCAAAACAAUACCAGUAAAAUUUGAAUGGCCUAAAUUUUUGUCACUGUUUAAAAUUUCCAAACAAAAAGUGGUGACUUCUUUACCUACAAUAUGCCAAUAUUGUUGAAAGAAAAGUGCUGGGAAUCCAUCAGGUCCUGGUGCUUUAGUUGGCCCCAUUCCUUUCAAGGCAAGAUGCACUUCUUCUUCCGUAAAUUUUCCCAUUAAGUCUUCAUUUAUUUCUGGUGUGAUUUUCUCUUCAAUGCCUGUUAGGAGGUAGGAUAGCUCACCUACUCCUUUUGAUAUAAAUAACUUCUGAAAGAAAAGAGUAGCUUCUUCACUGAUCAUGCAUUCUUCCGUCACUUCUCCUCCUUCGAUAAGUUCCAGCCUUGAUAUCGUGUUUUUCUUUCGUCGAGAUGUGGCGUGCCUGUGAAAAAAAGCUGUAUUUUUGUCCCCUGCUUUUAUCCAAUUUACCCUUACCCUUUGUUCCCAAUAUCUUUCAUCUUUAUCAAUUUCUAAGUUUAGGUGCACCUUAGUAUCAAUGAUUUCUGCCAUUAUGUCAUCGGUAUUUAUCCUUCUCCAUCAGCAUCUCCAGUUUCUUUGUAAGCCUUUUCUUCAGCCCUUCUUGUCCUUUUUUAAUUUCCCCUGCCCAUUUUUUUAAGUCUGAUUGUAAUUUUUCCAGUUUCUCCAGUACGUUAUUUGUAGAUGAUUCCCAAGAUGCUUUAAUUUCUCCUUCAAGAGACUCUUCCAUAGUCCACCAUGCCUCAAAAUUAAAAAUUGGCUUUCCAAAAUUAUCAUUUUCUGUUUUUGUAGUAAGCAGCAGAGGAUAAUGAUCAGAUAAUGAAUGGGGCAAGUGAUGAAUGUUACCCAUUGGAAAAAGAUUCCUCCACUUAUCAUUGGCUACUCCUCUAUCAAGUCUCUCUUUAACAUUUGUUUCUGGUAUAUUUCCCCUUUCCCAUGUGAACCAAGGCCCUAUGUACCCUAAAUCUUCCAAGUUGCAUUCUUCAAGAGUUUCUCUAAAAACCUCCAUCUGUCUUUCAUCUCUUAGUAAACUUCCUUUUUUCUCAAAAGAAUACAUGAUUUCAUUAAAAUCCCCACUCACAACCCAUGGAUAUGUCUGGUCUUGUCCCAAUUUUCGUAACAAAUUCCACGAAUCAUUCUUCAGAUUGACAUAAGGGGAACCAUAGAAACCUGUAAAUCUCCAUUCUUCAUUGUCAGUUUCUUCCAUAACCAUUGCAUCAAUAUGAUUCUUAGAAAAACUUCUUAAGGUAACCGUAAUCUCUUCUCUCCAUGCUGAGCAUAAACCACAUCGAGAACCUUCUACAUCUACAUCAAAUCCAUUCUGAAAACCACAUCUUCUUCUAACUUUCUCCAUACAUUGCUUGCUUAAUUUUGUCUCCAUUAAGAAGACCAUUUGGGGGUUUUGCUGCUUUAGAAAGUAUCGCAGCCUUCUAACUAUUCGUGGACUCCCCAAUCCACGAACAUUCCAAGUAAUGAUUUUCAUUGCGUUCGGCCGGCUUGCCUCUUGGCAGCCGCCGAUCCUAUGAGUAAAUUAGUAUCACUCUGUUGCAUAGCGUUUCCCAUCGUUUCUAGUAGCGUUUCUCCUUGUUCCUGUUCUCUAUCUUUUUUAGUCCUUUUGUUUCAACUCCAUAUUCAGCUUCUAUAUAGUAAGUCUCUACUAUUUCUUCAGUAGCUUUCCUCUUCUUGUUGCAGUUUCCAUCCUUUUGCUUUGCCACUUUAGGGCUGGAUUGACUCUUCUCCAAGUUGACGACUUUACUGAAUUGGGAUUACUGUCUUGACUUCUCCUCUUAUCAACCACUCACUCAUUGCUCAUAACUGAAUCUUCUUUUUCCUGCUUCUUCAUCUCCUCCUUGUUUUCAUUCACUAGUAGCUCCCCAUGCGUCAUCCCCAACCAAUUAUUUGCUUCUUCAGCUUUGCCAUCUUCAAUCAAAUCUGGCUCAGAGCCACCUGUAUAAAAACAUUGAACCCUAUUCUGAUUUAAAGAGUUAUUUAAUUUAAUACACUCUUUUCCAAGUAAGUUUGAUUCUGCUCUUAGUGCCAUCGUGUAUGGGGGAUUUUCUUUAAUUUUUGUUUUUUCUGCAGGAUUUAGUGAGUUACAACCUGAAAGUCCGUGCCCCAGCUUCCCACAUCUGAAGCAAAAAGUCGGUAAUUUUUCAUAUUUAAAGGAAAUCCACCAUUUAUUCUUAUUAUUCACUGAGACAAAAAUACCUCUUCGAAGGGGUUUCUGCACAUCGAGAUUUAUUUUUAGACGACACCAUUCUCCGUUGAUUUCAGAUCUGAUUAUCCCACCAAAAGUGACACCUAUGGCAUGUAGCAAGUCUUUUUUAUCAAAUUAUGGUAGACAUGGUCCUACCUUCAGCCAGACCGGUGAGGAGUUGAGCCGAAUCUGAGACCUUUCCACCGAUUGGGUAAUCCUGUCGAAAAGGAUUAGACUCUUUCGAAAUAACCAUGGCCUACCUUCCAUAAUCAAUUCUAAAUCCUCUUCCAUCUCAAACGCUAUCAAAAAUAGGUUUUGUCCUGCUGUUUGAAUCUCAAACUUCUUUUCUGUUUUCCACAAACUCUUCAUCUGUGCCCUAAAACUUUCCGGAUUGUAAAACUUCUCUGUCCAUAUUGUGCAGAUCAGGGUUGGUUUUUUAUUCGGAACUACCUUCGAACCUUUGAUAGAUAAUUGGAUAAGCUCUUCAGUUAAGAGUGAAAUCUCGUCCCUCUGCUCACUAUCAUCUCCACCGCUUUCCCCCAUCCCAAGUUGCAAAAGUGACUGCCUUCACUAGGACUCUCGGCGAAGCACUCUUGGAAAAGAAGUAACUAGGGUUUUUUUGUAAAAAAAAAAAUAUUACAAAUAUUUAACAAUGUAGAAUACUUUAAAUUGCUCUUAUUCAAAAAGACAAAUAGGGUUAAUUUAUCUAAAUAAUAUUAAAAAAUUAAAUAUUAAAAUAGAUUGUCAACUGGAUUAUAUACGAAAAUGAAUUUUUUUGGGUCGUGCCUAUCUGAUACGCGCAACAACUUUUUUAUAUUAAAAUAUCUUUUUACUUUAAAUAAAAUAUUAUUAUUUUAUUUUUAUUAAAAAUAUUUAAAUAUAUAUAUACAGGUCAAAAUACAGUUAACGAGUCAAAAUACGGGUUAAAAAUACCCAAGACCAGUCACGCCUAUCAGAUAGGCGUCACUGGUCGAGCCUGACAGGCAGGCGCCACUGCCUCCCCCCUGCGCCCCUCUGCCCCGCACAAAAAUAUACUUUUGUUAUUAAUUAUUAUUUAUAAAUUGUUUAUGUUUAGUGUUUAUGGUUUUGGGUUAAUAUUUGGUAUGAAUGUAAAUUUUUUUUAUAAUUAUUUUAAAAUUAAUUUGUUAGUAAUUUAGGAUUAUGUUAUAUGUAAUUAUUUUAAAAUUAAUUUAUUAGUAAUUUAGGAUUAUCUUAUAAAUUAUUGUGUUUAGUUUAGUAUUUGGUGAGUUUUUAAUAAUGUAAAAUUAUUUUUAAAAAAAUAAUUUUAUAGUUAUUUUGUUCAACCAGUCGCGCCUGUCAGAUAGGCUCCACCAGUUGCGCUUACUAGAUAGGUGCCACCUACCCCAUACCAUUUUUGUAUCCGGGAAAAAAAAAAUACAAACACCACGCCUAUGAGAAAGGAGCUGCCAAUAAAAUAAUAUUUAAAAAAAUAAAAAAUACUAUAAUAUAAAAAAAGAGGUUGCGCCUAUUUUAAUUUUUAUAUUAUAAUAUAAAAACAUACUAUUUUCGUAUAUAAUCCAGGUGAUAACCUAUUUCAGUAUUUAAUUUUUUUUAAUUAUUUAGGUAAAUUAACUGAAAGUAAAGAUUGCCAAAUCCCCGCUGGAGGAUGGAACAAAAAUAUGGUGGCCGGAAACACUCGAAACAGUGGUUCCAUACGCAACCAGAUCUGGCAUCCUACCCAAAAAACCAGCACAAAGGAUGAAAGAAGUGUCACUCCUCAGACCCGGUAGUGAUUCAAGUAUGAAGUGAUUGAAAACUUCAAACUUCAUGCAAAUUCUGCAACUUUACUGAAGCACAGAACAACAUUUUAACCAAUUGAAACGAUACAUCCGAACAUACCAAAUAAUUUUAUAUAUCAGUGUUAGAGUAUACGAUUUGGCCUACAUUGCUUAGCACUCAAAGUUAAUUACAUCAAGGGCAAAAAAUCAUCAGCGUCUCUAUCGGACACCACAUUUGUGUUCCUUUCGUGUAUAAUCUGAGCAAACCGUGUUCUUGAAGGAUAAAUUAAGCGUUGGUGAUCAUGAAAGCAAUCGUUGAUAUCCGAAUUUCUCGAUUUCGAGUAAUUUUAAGACUUCUUGACUGAAGCAUCCAAGUGAGCAGCAGCAACAAUGUCGGAUGGCAGAAGUUCUGAUGUUCUGCUGUUUCAGUUCAACAAAUUAAAACUGAUAAAUCCAAUAUGAAGAACUGUGUCAUAGGAAUGAAUCUGGAGACAACAAUAAACAAGAAGUUGUCAUCUACAGAUGAACCUCCAAACAUGCAAUGCAAAGGUGAAGCCAAACUUUAUGGUCCGGUGAUCUUGAUUUGGGCAAUCAAGUUUCAUUUGACUUGCAGCUUGUUAAACUGUUGACACAUAAUAUCAGUUGGUCAGAUUCGAAUGAACGAAUUAAUAUUAUCAGAAUGCAAGGGAUUUACAACUUCACCAACCUGCAAAGCCAUGAUGAAUUUUCCGAGAUAUGGUUGUUUCCUGGAAUUGAAAUCAAGACCUCUACGGAAACUGAAAAGAGGAUAAAGAUCCGAUAAAUACAACACAAAUAAAAGUAGCAUGAUGAAUGAAAGUAAGUAUGGAUGAACAAAAGGAAGCAAUGUAACACAGUAUACCAACAAGAAACCUGAAAAUUCCCAUACCAUGCACAAUCAUUCACUGCAAAAUCAAACAUUGAAAAUCUAGUUGUCAAUCUAAUCACUUCUCUGCGACAGACCUUCGAGAAAAUUACAGACCAUUUGUAUCACAAAGCAGCCUAUAAUUAGAGAAUUAUACUUCUAUCCAACAUUAGCCUUCAUAGUGAUGACCAAUUACAGGAAUUGGCUGCCUGUGACCUAGACCAGAAGCCAUCAUUUGAAAAUGUGAUACCUCCAGAUCCUGCAGUGCUCAGUCAAAGAUGACACAGCAUCAGAAUUGACAGGAACGAGACAGAUUAAGAAGAUUAGGGUUAAAAAUUUAAAGGAUGAUUCAAUUAUAGAACAAUACAAGCAAGUUAAGAAACAACCGUUAGCUAUACAAGUUCAUAAUCACGUAACCAAUGCCAGCGAUAAGACGAAACGAGAGCAUGAGCAUUUACCGUCUAAACUCUGAAGUCCUGCAAACAAAUUACUGAGCUAGAAUGAAGUUUUUGUCAGAUGGCUAGAGACAAAUCAACAAUAGUCUUGACAUGAACAAAUGCCGCUUUUGAAGUGAUGGAAACAAUUUGCAUCACGAACAACUAUCUCCUGUUUUAUGACACCAGAGACAAGCUUCAUAAAAUCAUGGCAGUCUUCACAUAUGUGCAAAUUUUUGAAUAUCCGAAUUGUUUUCACAGGGUUGAUGCUAAUAAGAGCAAAAGCAAGAGCUAAUCUUUCAUUAUGAUGAAAGAGCUGUUCUAAUUUUUCAUCAUCACUGACAUCAUUGAGUAUAUGAUCUGUCUUAGGCACAUAUCCUGCUAAAAUAGACUUCUCGACAAGCUCCUUCAAUUUUAUAUAGAUCUCCCCAUGUUUUGGAUGAAAACCAUCAGUGGACCUGAAGAUGUGCACUUGACCAUUGACCAUCACCCAACUACACCCAGGUUCUUUCUUAACACCACAAUGGGUCAUCAAUGCUCUGACUCUUCGGACAUCCUCCCACCUACCCUUGGCAGCAAAAAUAUUUGCUAGUAAUAUGUAAUGGGAGGCUAUACCAGGAUUAAGUUCGAAGAGUUUCUCAGCAGCACUUUCACCAAGUUUGUCAUUUCCAUGCAUUCUACAAGCCCCAAGAACUGUCUCCCAAAUCAAGGGAUUCGAUGUAACCUUCAUGUCCUUGAUAAAGCUUUCAACUUCAUUGAACUUGCCAGCUCGACCUAAAAUAUCAAUCAUACAGGCACAGUGCUUAAUUGUGGGUACUAUUCCAAAAACAUUGGUCAGGGAAUCAAAGUACUCUUUCCCUUCAUUUACAAAGCCCAUAUAACUACAGGCAGAUAAAACUGCUAUGAACGUAACCUCAUCUGGCUCAAGGCCUUUGUCUAACAUCAUCCUAAAAGUUUCUAAAACCUUCAAUCCUUGUCUAUGUUGCAGGUAUCCAAAUAACAUCGUGUUCCAUGAUACAGUAUCCGUUGACACCAUGCCCUGGAAAGCAGCUUCAGCUUCUUCUAUGCAUCCACAGUUAGCAUACAUAUCUACAAUUGAAGAAGAUACAAACAUAUCACCUGAAUUCCCAGCCUUAAUUGCCAUUGAAUGAAGCAGCUGCCCGUUUUCCAACAUCGCCAUAUUGGAGCAACUACUCAAACAGGUAGCAAGAGUGAAAUUAUUGGGCGUGACACCUUGCCUCUGCAUAUGAUUGAAGCACUUGAUAGCCUUCUCUGAACAAUCACUUUGAGCAUAACCAGCAAUUAAUGCAGUCCAUGAAAAAAGAUCCCUCUCAAUCAAUUGAGUAAAAAGUAGCUCUGCAUCCGCCAAGAAUCCAUUUUUGGCAUACAAGUCAAUAAGAGAUGUUCCCACUAAAUUAUUAUCCUUUAGGCCAUUCUUUAUUAUAUGGGCAUGCACUUGAUGUCCAAAUUUUAUAUUUAAAAGAUUGGAACAAGAUCUUAAAAUGCUAGUAAAUGUACAGAUAUCAGGCUUAAAACCUUCAGCAAGCAUCUUGUGAAAGAUACUUGGUCCUCGAUCACAAGUUUUACCAUUAUGAGAUCCAGAAAGAAGAGAAUUCCAUGAAGCUGAAUUCCAAGAACUCAUUUCCUUAAACACCCGCCAACCAUUUUGGACUGACCUGAUUUUCAUAUACAUUGCAAUAAGUGCAUUGCUCAAAAUGAUUUCAGAUUCAAAUCCAUGUUUAAAUAUACAAGCAUGAACGCCUUCACAAUAUAACCGAUCACCCAAAUUAGCAGCUACACCAGCAAUAGAGGCAAAAGUAUGCUGAUUGGGGCUUACCCCUUUGCAUCUCAUUAGAGAAAACAACUCAGCUGCCUCUUGAAUCUGGCCUUGCUCAUCAAGGCAGUCAAUCAUUGCACUCCAGGCUACUAUGUUGGGUUCUUGAAUCCUUUUAAAAACCUUAAGAGUAUCCUCAGCCAGUCCACAUUUUGAGUACAUAUCAAGAAGGCAACAACCAACAAAUUCAUCAUGCUCACACCCGGUCUUAAUCACCAAAGAAUGUGCAAUCAAGCCCCAUGUUAAGUUUACCAGGUACGUACAACUUUUGAGCACAUUUGACAAAGUAAACUUACUACACCUCAAUUCAGAUUCCGUCAUCCCUUGAAACAAAUUCAAAAUCUUUCCUGCAUCGCCCUUUAGAGCAUAUCCAUUAAGCAAUGCAUUCCAUGAUACAACAUUCUUUUUAUCCAUGAACAGAAAUACUCUCUCUGCCAGUUCCAUCUGACCACAUUUCGCAUAAAGAUCAACAAGAGAGGAUCCAACAAAAACAUCCAACAAAACUCCAACUUUAACACCUUCCCCAUGCAACAAUGUACCAAAAAACAAAUCCAAACUCAAAGAACAAGCUUUCAAAGCGGUCACUAAGCAAUGCCCAUUUGGCAGAACCCCAUCUUUCUUCAUAGAACAAUACAAAUCCAACACAUAAUAUCCAUACCCUUCAUUAACCAAACCAGAGAACAGAGCGGCCCAAGACACAACAUCUCUUUCAGGCAUUCUAUCGAGCACUUUACAAGCAUAUCCAAAGACCCCACGUUUUGCAUAAGCAUUCACUAAGGAGUUCCAUAAAUGCAAAUCAGGGUCAAUCCCAUUUUUUAUUAUCUUCCCAUGAACAGCUUUGGCUGAACUCAAAGACCCUUUUGAUGCGCAAUCAUGUAGAAUCUUAGAGUAAAGCUUUAACCUUUUAGAUCCUUCAAGCUUUGUUUUUUCUUUGAAAAGUGGGACUUUUAAAGAUGGGUUUAUCUCUUCUGUGGCAACAUGGGCAGUAAAAGAAGAAACAAACUGAAAUGAGGCAAAAAGCAACCUCCUGGGGAAUUCAAUGACAAGACGGUUUUUUCUUGUGGACAAACAUCGAAAAACAAGUGAUUGAAUAAGCAUUGAAACAAAAUAAAAAAUUAAAAAAUAGCUUGGGGUUUCAGAUUUCUUUGUGUAAAGAUAUCGAGUUUGAAGCUUUUAUCUCGCUGUUACUUCAGAUAUAACUGGGCUGGGCUACUCACGCAAGUACGAAGUAUCAUUCGAAAGCUCGAAAAAUUUAGAUAAAAAUAUUAAGUUUAAAAAUAGGUUUGAAUAAAAAAUAUUAAAUCUAUUUAAAAAUAUGAGCUAAAUUCGGGUUUGAGCAUUUAGAAUUUUUGAUUUGAUUAAUUUUUAAGUUUGUAAUAUUUUAUAUUAUAUUAUAUUUAUAUGUUAUAUAAUUUAGAAUACAUUAAAAAAAUAAAACUAUAUUAAAUAUAUAUUAUUAUUCUAAUAUAAACAUUAAAAUAAUGUUAAGAUAACUAUAUAAAAAUUUUCUAUAAAUAAAAAGUAUAUAAAAUUAUUAAAUAUUAAAAUAAAAUAAAAUAAAUAUCUUUUUAAAAAAUUUAAAAAUAAUAUGUCGGCCUAAAAUGGAUUUGGAUUAAUCUUUUACAAAUAUAGACAUAUUUGAAUAAAAUUUUAAAUUCAUAUUUCGAGCCAAAUCGAACUUGGACAAGCAUAAAAUAUAUUAAUAAUAUGCUAAAGCCCAAUCUGAUCUAGUUCAUGAACAACUCUAAUAAGAUAGCUAGGCUCCUUGUACUUGGUCAGCAUAGGUAGAAAAUGAGACUGCUUUCUCUCUUCAUUGAUUGUAACAAAGCGUGCUUUCAAAUGGUUUUUAGGCUUUGGUUCCAAAGUGACGCGUACUUUCGAAUGAAACGUGCUUUAUGAUAUUUUCUGAGCAUUUAUAAUAGUACCAAGUGCUAUUCCUAUUUUGGCAUUUCUAAUUUCUAGAGUUUUAGCCCCAGUUAAAAAGGGUCUAUAAAAACUUUUUAGUUAUGAAUUGGGUAUAGAACCAAUAGGCGAUGCUUGGUUACAAUUUCGAAUCCGUUUUUACAUGUUUGCUCUAGUUUUUGUUGUUUUUUUUUAUGUUGAAACGAUUUUUCUUUAUCCAUGGGCAAUGAGUUUCGAUGUAUUAGGGAUACCUGUAUUCAUAAAAGUUUUUAUUUUCAUGCUUAUCUUAAUUGUUGGUUCAGUUUAUGCAUGGGGAAAAGGAGCAUUAAAAUUAUCUUAAUUCCUGAAUAUUCAGAUAAUAAAAAGAAAGAAAAAAAGUAGGAUUCUAUCAAAUUUCCCUUAGUUUACUUUGAUGAAGGCUUGAAGUAAAGAGUUUGUAUUGUACCUCUUUAUUUGGACUUUGGUUCCGUUUGAACAGAUCCCUUGAAGUAAAGAAUUUUGUAAAAGUCUGUUUAAAAGAGAAGUUUCCUUAAAAUUCCCAAAUAUAUAUUACAUAGAUACGUACAAUGUGUGUCUCAAAGAAAUUAAAGGCUAACAAUGGUCUUUCCAAGCAACCAUAAAACAAGCGAUAACUCAAGGCCAAAAAUGGUGUGGAGUGUGCUCCUAUCUAGUACGAACCCAUAGAUUGUUAUCCCAGCUCGAUUGUUCUCAAAAUAAGUCACUGUCAUCAACCAAGAAUGAAACAGACCAAUAUCAUCAAGCAACUCAACACGUAUACUACUGUUAUGUUCAUGUUGACAUUGUAACAACCGAGUUUCAAGACGUCUAUCUCGAGUCACCCUAUGCAUCGGGAUCUAGCCGUCGCUUCCAAAUACACUAAAAUCCCGAUAGGCAAUGAGAAGGAAAUGUCCUAAAACCCAAUCGUUACAUGUAAUGUUCUUCGGAGUGACAUUAUUACCUAGAGCUUGUCUCUUUUGGAAUGAAAGGGUACUAUAAGCAUAAGACGGGAUCAUCUUGUUGUUGUCUAUGUCAUCUUCAUCACCAACGUCAUCUCCAUCGUCCGAUUCACCAUCCGUACCCACAUGAGGGAAAGGUUGAUGGCUCUGAAUGACAGACGGACUCCUCGGCAUAUCAUCUUCGUUCGCAUUGAGUGAAUCUAAUGUUGCACAAGCAUGCCACUUUGCCGCUAGGCAUGUAAUAGCUUGUGCUUUGUGAGUUAUUUUCGUUGCACUUCGUAAUAAUAUACAGAGUCCAGUGAGGAGAGUUAUAGAACACAACUACAACAACAAAAAAAGGGCACUCAUCCAACAAUGUGUUAACCGUUUUGAUCCGAAAAUCUCAUGGAUAGAUAAAUGAACACUUACAGCAAGUUCUCCAGCUUUAUAAAAAUUCAGUGCAGAAGUAGCCUUUGUAGUGAUAAGCAAAGAAGUGAAUUGGCUGCCAGUGAUCAAGAUCAGGCAACAUAUUAUAAACGCGCGAUAUCGAUGGCUGAUGAUCCUCAAAUGCCUCCUGAUCCGCAGGUGUUCGGACAAGACUGAACCAACAUCAGAAUCAAUUUGGAAAACCUGAGCAAAGUCGCGGAGUCGGAGAACCUGGAGAUUGCAAAUAAGGUGGAAAAGAACACACACAAGGAAGAAGACAGUCGUCCGGUAAAGCCACGAGCACAGCUCCGUAAUGCAGGCAACCGUGUCACUGAGCCAGACAAUGCCUAGGAAAGGAAUUUGUGAAGCACCUGAGGCAUACCACCAUACUUUGUAUGCAGUCUCAGCUAUGAAACAUGGAAGAACAAAGACUGCUACAAUUUUCAGUGAUCUCUGCAUAUAUUAUACAGUAAAAUUCAAUCACAUUAAUCUAUGAAUUGAAAGUUUUUUUCAAUAUCAUCCAAAAGGAAGCAACCUAGCAUUCUACAUUUUCUUGUAGCCAUAUGAAAUUGAAAUUCUCAAAGGAACUGAAACUACAAAAUUCUAAACGUUCUUACCUAUCAAUAACGAAAGAUUCAGACAAUAACAAAAAAAAAAAAAAAAAACCAGAAAUUCAUUCAAAUCCACAUAUGAAAACUAUUCUAAAAAUUGCAAUUUAAAGAAACAAAAAAAAAAAAAGGGUCAUGAAUUUGAAGGGAAAGAAUGAAAGAAUACUUACAUUGAGCUGACCAGUGUAUCCUUUCCUGACAGCUUCACUUUCAACAUAAAGCUUAUCAAAAAACAAGAACCGUUUCAAACCAUAUGUCUUGACAAACCUCGUCAAACAAACAAAAGACAAAGCUGAAACACUGCUCAAAGACAGCUGAACCACCGAAUCAUAAGGCCUUGCAUGUUUAGCAUCACAAGUGGAACAAGCCAACCAAAAAUGAGACACAGAUGGGACAACAAGCCCCAAAAAUAUGAACAAAAACCAAGACAAACAAGUUGUCCAAAUGUUUGAUUGAUCAACACACAUCCAUUUUAGGUAUGUUCUAAAGCUUUGUAACUCAUCUUUUGCAUGAGAUAUGCUUCUUGUGAACUUCUUAGUCCCAUCAUCCACCAAAGGUUCCAUGGUGUCUCCCAUCAAGGGGAUUUGUGGGAGAAUUUGAAGAGUUUGGGGGGAGGGGGGAUUUGUAAGUUUUGUUGGAUUUAAGAGGGGAGGAUGUUGUGAUCCAAUCAGAGGAUAACAAGUGUUGGAAUCGAGAGAGAAAAGAGGACUCAACUUUUCUUCUAUUUUCCAGGAAAAAGUUUUGGGAAAAAUCUAUCAGAAAAAUUAUUUUCUUUUUUUUCCUGGUUUUGACUGUACAUUACAAUUAUACAAUUAUUUUAUAAUAAUCAUUCUUAAUUGUGAAUUUCUGUCUAAAUCUGACGUUGGUCCUCAGAUCAAGCAGGCAUUGUUGAAAUUAUACCUGAAAAUUAAACGAUCUAAUCUAAUUUAUUUACAUUAUAUUAUUUUUUAUUAAAAAUGUAUCAAAAAAUGUUGAUUUUUUAAAAAAAAAAUUUACUGGACUAAGUUGAUCUUCAGAAAAAUUACGGGAUUAGGUCGAAAAAAUAAAAACACUUCCAGCUAGAAGCAUUUUCAGCGGAUUUACAGAGAAAUGCUUUUAGCUGGAAGCGUUUUCCAUAACAGCUACCCCACCCCAACGGUUAGAAAUCCAUCUCAAAGCCGUUUACCCCCUACGCUCUUUUCCUUUCCUAUAUAAACCCCCUAAAUUCUAUUCUUUUUCAAUUCAAUCUCAUCUCAACUUUCUCUCACAUUCUCAAUUUUCUCUCAAAUCUCUUUUAAAGUUCUCUCAAUUCUUUCUUGAUUCUCACUCAAUUUUUAUUCCUCUCUCAACUCUCUUUUUUUUUAUUAAAAUUUUAAUAAGGUUUUCUUAAAUUAAUUUUUUUCAUAUUUAUUGAAAUUAGUAAGGUCAAAGUCUCUAAUUCGCUUGGAUGACAAGCACAUUUCGGUCGAUUAAUUGCAAAUGGUAAGACGUUUUUUUACUAUAUUUAGUCUAAUUUAAUUUAAAUAUUUUGUUAUUAUACUAAAAUUUAAUAUUUUGUAUUUUUUAUAUAUAAUCGAAAGAUCAGAUUUUGGAGACAUAUAUUUGUAUUCUACUCGUUCCUCCAUCGUCUUUAAUCAAACCAUAUUUGAGAGAUGUGAGAUUUUUGCACGUAGCCCGUAUGGGUAGGGGGUGUAAAUUUGACCCUACACUUAUAAGCAUGUUGGUGGAAAGGUGGAGACUUGAGACACACACAUUCUAUCUUUCAUGCGGCGAGUGUAGUAUCACACUCAAGGACUUGCAGUUACAACUCGAGUUAUCGGUGGAUGGGUCGGUAGUGACUGGGUCAAUUGUCGCGGUCGAUUAGAAAAAUGUAUGCGCGCAACUUUUAGGAAGGGUCCCAGGCAUGAUUUAUGGAGCUUGGAUAGAUAUGAAUUGGUUGAAAAAAAAAUUGGUGGGCUCGAUGAGGAAUCGGAUGAAGUUUAAAGAGAACAACAUGCUCGGACGUACAUCCUUAUGAUCAUCGAGGGUCUCCUAAUACCUGAUAAAUCAUGAAAUCUUGUCAAUUUAAGGUAACUGCUAAAACUUGUAGACUUUAGAGAAGCGAGCAAACUUAGUUGGGGGUCAGCUGUAUGGGCAACAUUGUAUCAGGAGAUGUGUCGGGCGACAAAACCACAGAAAAUUAAAAUCGGUGGUUAUAUGCUACUGCUACAAUCAUUGGAGUGGUAUCGACUUCCAUUUUUACAUCCUCGAGCGGACUACCCUUAUACAUUCCCACUCAUAACAAGGUUAAAUUCAUUAGAGAAUAUAUUUAUCAUAAUAAAAUUAUUUAAAUUUUAAAUUAAUGUGUUAACAUAUUAUUUCAAUAGAUGGAACCAUGGGUCAAGUUAUGUGAGACUACCGGAGGAGCUUCAAGAUGUACAACUUAUGUCAGAUCAACGACCGGAAGUAGAGGUAUGUGUUUUUUAAAUUUGAAUUAUAUAAUAUUAACGUAUAUCUAAUUAAUAGUAUAUAUAAUUAAUUUUUUAUUAUUUUAAUAUAGUUUGAGUAUACGCCAUACUCCGAUAUGAGAAUUUAAGAAUGCAUCUCGUUUGAAUUCUUGGUGAAUCCCAACAUCUGGCACGUGAAGGUACCACUGGUAGUGUACACUACGGUGGAGAUACACGAAUUAGAUGUAGUUAUGCCACAGUUUAGGUUUAGGCAAAUGAUUCCGCCAACACCCUAAGACAUCGACAAUCUGCACCAUAUUGACUUGCGGGGGAGAAUCGAUGAAAUUGGCCUACAUUUCACGCGGAAUAUAUCAAUGUUUGGAACCAUAGGUAAAACUUUUUACCUACUCGCGAACUCAUUAUUUCUUGGGAGUUAGCCUACGAUUCAGAGUACAUGUCAUGGUUUAGACACCAUGACAAGCCAUAUCUACUAGCGGAAGAGACGAAGGGUAGGCAACGUUAUGAGAAGAGACCACGAUGAACGCCUGGGCAUCCAAGGUCUGGAACAGCUGUCGAGUUGGAUCCAUCAUCUACACCAAUGCAAGGACAUGCAUUGAUGACAUCACCACCCCCCGAUCAGUAUGGCUCGACUUAUUUUGAUGUUUUCACUAACCUCGUCAUUUUUAUAUAAGCACCACAUCUUGCACCAUAUUUGUUUGUUUCUACAUCGACUUCAAGUAUUAUUUUUAGACCACCACCUCCAUCACACGCAUAUUACACGUCGAUGCCAUCAACAUUUCAGACGACAACAAUUCUGACGGUGACGUAUAGGCCGUCUAUAUUUGGGGCACCGGCGGAAAGUCUGAUUAUUCAGCCAUCGGUGUAUGAGACACAAUAUGGUUAUACACCUAUGUUGAUGGUGUCACAAACACCUCCAGAAUCAUUGUUCCACCAAGGUGGACCAUCUUCACAACUAGUUGUGUAACAGCCCAUUUUUAGUGGUAUGUCAGAAACAGUGAUUUUAGGACCACAAUUUCGAUGAGUGAAUUAUUAUUUUGUUAUUUAUUUAAUGUCUACGAGAUUAUAUUAAGAUCGUAUUAAAGUUUUGUUAAGACAUUUUGAUGUUUAAACAGAUAAUUAGAUAAAAAGGACUAAAUUGUAAAAGGUGUAAAAGUUGAAUUGUAUUAGUUAAAGGGGUCAAAUGGCUAUGAAAUUUUAAUUUAAUGGACUUUAAUGAUAAAUAGACCAUUUAAUUAGUUAUUGGAUAGUUAUGGAUAAUUUUUUAUUGAAAAUUUGAUAAUUUUUAAAGGUUAAAAUGGUAAUUGAAUAAUUAAAAGAAAAUUUAAGUAAAGAAAGAUGAAACAAAGUCAUCAUCUUCUUUCUUUCAUUUUUUUUUCAACCAAAAAUCCAUGGGAGGAGAGCUUGAAGUUCCAGCUAGGGUUUAAUUUAUGCAUGUAAGUGAAUUCAAGCUCUGUUUUUAUUGAUUUUUAUGUUUUUGAGUUCGUUUUAGCUUAAUCUCGCUAGCCCGAGGAUUACUUUGCAAAAAUGUUAAAGAUUGAGGGAAUUUCCAUGGAUUUUUGAAUGAUUUUUGAUGUUAGUUGAUAGAUUAUGAAUCUUUAUUGUAAAAUAAACAUGUUUUGUUAAGUGAUUUUUGGUGAAAUUAUAUUUAGGGAUUAAAUUGUUAAAAGUAUAAAUUCAUGGAUUUUAUUGUGAAAUUUUGGUAAUAAUAGGUUGUUUCAAGGUCCCUUGUAACUUUGGUUAAGUUGGAUUUAGGUUAAAAUGGUUAGAUUUAAAGUUAUGAGCUUAUGGACUAAAUUGUGAAAAGUUAAAAUGUUAGGGGAAUUCAUAAUUUUUCAUAAAUAUGAAUUAUGGAUUAAAUUGAAUUAUAGAGGUACUUAAUUUAUUGAAAUUAUCAAUUUAGAUCAAGAUAAAUCACAAUCGGGCUUAAAUCGAGGAAAAGCUAAAGCUUCAGAUUAAUUUGACUUUACUUUUACGCCCUAAUUAUCAAGGUAAGUUCGUAUAAACUAUGAUCAUUUUAAUGUUAGUUAAAAUGACUAUUUGCUAUGUUUUUUUUUAAUAUAAAUGAAUCAAUAUGUAAAUGUAUCCAUGUUAUGAUGAAUUGACGGAUAACAAGUCCCGGUUGAACCUUAAGAAUUCUUACGAUACAAUUACAUGUCAUUAGAGAUUUCAUAUUUCGGGUGCUAGUCUUGAAUGUCCUACCAAUGGCUGAGGUCCUGCAUUUGUUGCGGAUUCUCCACAACUCAUGUGAGUAGCAUCGUGUAGCUUACAUUCCGACCUACAGCUCGUGUGAGCAUUGAUGUAAAGAAAAGGUUACGGUUAUAUGUAAAUGCACACUAUGUGUGAGCUUUUCUGAGUAUCUGAUGUAAUUCUAGAUGGUUGAACGGGUAAGAAAAGGAAAUGAAAUGGUAAGUAUGCAAAUGGAUUGAAUGAUGAUAUUAUGAAAAGAUUUAUGAGCUAAAGGAUGUUAUCUACAUAUAGAAAUUUACUUAUCUUAUGGUUGAAUUCAUUUGUAUCAUGAACAAGUGUACUAACUUGUGAAUUUGAUGAUGUUGUAUAGGCUUAAGCUAAGCUUAUGGUAUUGGUAAUGAUUUAUGCUUAAUCUAUGAAUUGUAAAAAUGACAUGGCAAGUUAUGUUUAAGUUUAUAUGAGCUUACUAAGCUUUCGUUGCUCACGUAGUUUCUUUCCUUUGUUUUGUAGAUUAUCGGAAGCUCGACCGGUUGAAAGCUCAUCGGAGACCUAUCACACUAUCCAACAACUAUUUCGAUAGAUUUUGUGUAUUUUGGCCAAGGUUAAUAAUGGCAUGUAUAAGGUCUUGUAAUGUAUGUUUUGGUGUGUUUAAGCUUUUGAAGUUGUGUUGGUUUGGUGCACUUUGAUGCCUUGCCAAAUUAUGUCAUUUUGGUCACUUUCAAGUGCUUGCAUUUAAAGUAUCUAUUGGUGUGUUUGUAGUGUUAUGAAAAAGGUCAAAUGUGGUGUUAUGUGGUAGCCAAGGAACUAAGCUUUUAUACUUGCAAUAUGGCAAUGUUGAAGUAUUUUGAUAAUUGAUGUUUUGGUACAAUUGUGGUGCCUUUGAAUGACAUAUUGGUUAGGUGAUUUAGGAUAUUUGAAAUGGUAUGUUUAUGUGUGUUUGGAUAGUGUUUGAAUCCCUUAAAUGUGUGUUCAAAUGGUUUGAAUGGUUAAUUAUGAAAUGGAUUUGAAAUGGCUUGUUUUUAGGUAAAUUUUGGGUUCACACGGCUUGGGACACAGGCUAUCACACGACUGUGUGACACACAUGGCCUAGUGACACGGCCGUGUGUUAUUUGAGAGUUUCUUAGUGCUUCAAGUUAUUGAGUUACACAGCCUAGCACACGGGCGUGUGGGGCAACUCAGUGAGUUACACAAGUGAGAACACGGGCUGGGACACGGCCGUGUGUCCCUUGUUCGAAUGUUACACGGCCUAAGGUGAUGUCACACGGCCAUGUGACCCCUGUUUUCUAAAUUUUGCAAUUUUUUCUUAAAACUUCUAUUUUAUUACAAAUUAGUCCUGAAUUGUUUCAAAGCUAUUUUUAGGGCCUCGAAGGCUCGAUUUAGGGACAAAAUGCAUGAGAUUGAAUGGUUUAUAAUAUGAGUUUAAUUUAUUUAAAUAUUACAAUGUUAAAUGUUUUCGAUUGUACGGUAAUGCUUCGAAACCCUAAUUCGGUGAUGGAGACGAGUUAGGGGUGUUACAAGUUGUUCCUAGAAUAGAAGAUACACGAUGGCAACCGAGGAGCACUCUGCAAUCAACUACGGAUGAAGGCGAAUAAUAUGAGAGGCUGAGACCACAACGUGUACUUGAAGGUAGACGUAACGAUAAAAAUGAGGAAGUCGGUAUAUAGCUUGGGUGAAGAAGAAAUAUGACUCGCAACUGACAACCACCCCGUUGUGGUACACAUAGGAGCGAACAGAACUUGAUUCGACUUGAAAAAAUAAAAAAAAAUGUUCAAAUUUCGAGUUAAAUGAAUCGAGUUGUUCGAGUCAACUCAAUUUUUUUUCAAAUUUCGAGUUCGAUUCGAGUUUAAUUUUCGAAUUUGAAUAAACUGAAUAUCAAAGUAUAAUAUUUUACAUUUUUACCCCAAGCUCUCAAACCUUUUUACUUUACCCCCUAAUACUUUUACUCCCUCCCACUUUCCCUUAAAACUUUUACUCCCCUCCCAUCUCACCCCCAUCUACCCGAAACCCAUUUUCCCCCCAUUUUUUUUUGAAUAUUCCCCCCAUUGACUUUCCCCCCAAAAUUUUACUCCCCCAACUCUCAACACUUUUUAUUUUACCCUUAAAUUUUUACUUUUCACCUUUUACCCCCAAAUAAAAAAUCAUACAAAAAAAUCUCUAAACUUAAAUAAUAAUUUUAUUUAUAUAUACUAUUUAUAUUAUUAAAUGAAAUUUUACAUUUUGUACUAUUUAUAUUAUUGAAUUGUUUAAUCAUAUUAAAUUUUUAUAAAUUUUUGUUAAAAUUGAAUUAUUGAUGAUGCCAUAAAAUAUUUGAGUUAAAAUUUUAUAUUGGUAUCAAUUUCAUAUUUUAUCUUUAAAAUAACUUUUAUUGAAAAAUUAAUUUUUUAUAUUUAAUAUAUUUUUUAAUUUCAAAAUACAUAGUGACAAAAAUCAGAAGAUAAUUGAAGCAACUAAGCAAGCAAAAAAGUUAACCCGUAUAUAAAAUAUUAAUAAAAAUUAUGAGGAGAUGAAAGUUAAUAACAAAUUUUAUUAUGGUGGGAAAAUUUGAUUACAGUGGUGACAGUGGUUAUAAGGACCCAAAGUCAUUUUUUUAAAUUUAACUUGAACAAAUAUAUUCGACACGAUUCAAAUUCCACUCACUCGACACGAUUCGAGAAAAUUUCAAAUUGAGUUAGGAUGAUAAAAUAGGAUUCGUCAAUUCGAUUAACUCGAAAUUUUUUCAUUCGAUUCGAUCGAACGCUCGCGCCUAGGUACACAUUCUGAUCGAGGAUAUGAAUGAUUUUUUUUUUGUACUUCUCAAGUAAAUUUUAAUUGUUUAGUUAAGUUAUAGUCGAUAAGAUUGUAACGAUAUUGGAUAUGAAAUGUUUUUAAAUAAAUAUCAUUUUAAAAUCAAAAUUGUUUUCAUUGUCAUUUUAUAUUGUAAAAUCAAGUCUACAUGAGAAAAAUGGAACAAAGUUGUAUAUUGUAUUUCUCUCUAUAGUAUAAUAAAAAUGCGUAUUUAAAAAUUACAAAAAAAUUUGAGUAUGAAUGAAAAAAUCAACAAAUAAGUUUCAGUUAAAAAAUUAAUAAAUCGGUUAAUGAGGUAUUGUCCUUAUAAUAUCUCAUCGGUGAGGACAUGACAAUAUUGUAUACCCUAGGUAGAUGUCGGUCGACCUUUUGGUUUGUAAUGCAAUGACUUAUUGGGUAACAACUUGAAUGGAGCGCUCGAUACCGGCAACCACAUACUUUUAUCUGGGGCCGAUGGGAAUACAUUUCUCCACAUGUUAUACAUGUGUUCUAGUUUAUCAUCAUGUAUUGUUUCAUCUACGAUAUGUACAUUUUGUCCAUAAAGCUUUGUGAUCUAAACUUACGGAGGAACAUGCUGCAAUUGCAAAAGCACAUGGGAAACGAAGUGCAUCAAAUCUCCCACAGUUGUAGGUCAGUUGUCUCCGAUGUACAUGGUACGCUCCCCCGACAAUACCUUGAUUGGGUCUGUCGAACUCUGUAACUCGAAACAAAAGGUCUUUGCAUGAGUGACACACUAGAUGCAUACAGUUCGCUCGUACUGUAGCCUUCCUAAUUUCUUUCAUAAUGUCCUUACACCAAACAUGGUAUUCCUUCAUCUGUCCAACAUAUUUUUUCAUUCCCUUUGGAAAAAGUUCUGCCAAAUGAAAAUAUGUUUCUUUCACAACCAAAGUUAUCGACAAAUGAUGUGUUCCCUUCAAUACAAAAUUGAUGCAUUCCACUAAGUUUGUCAUCAUGUGCCCAUAUCGUAAACCCUCGUCAUAUGAUUGUGUCUACUAAUUGAAGGGUAUGUUAGAGAGGUACCUUACCCCGACACUAUUAAUGGCCUGUAAGUUUUCCAACAUUUCAUGAAAAUGGUGUUUGACGAGCUCAUACCCUGUCGAGAAAAGUGAAUAGUUUAUUCAUAAUGCCCAACAUCUGCUAGCCAGUUAAAUAUUAAACAAUUGAAAUAGUGGCUAAUACAUACCCAUGUUAACCACUUGUGCGCUCUGAGCUUCAAAUUCGUACUAUCUGUGGUAGUUCAUCGCAACAUGUCUUAAACAAUAUUUAUGGUGUGUUCGGUCCCAAAGGCUUCUCUAUCAUUCAAUUGUGGCCAGUAUUCCAAGUCCCUUGUCAAAGAUGACACAUACAUCGAGUUGGGGGCAAACAUACCUCCUCAACCUAGACAAGAAGAAAUCUCAAAUCAUUUGCCUUCUUUGACGACAUUAUUGCAAAGAAAAUUGGCAGGAUUUUUUAUUUUCAUCCUAUGCCACAACCAACAACAACAAUCGAUACGUAUAUCUCCCGUUAAUAAAGAGACCGUCGAUUUGUACUAAUGGCUUGCAGUAUUGGAAUGCUUUUCGACAUUGCUUGAAAUCCCAGAAGAAAUGAUGGAACACUCGACAUCUAUGGACCAACCGAUUAUUAUAAUACACAGGCAUUAUUUGUAGAUCGGUUAACUCAUCCCACCCAUUAUGUAUCUUCUCCAAUGCCUUCUACUUUGCAAUCCAUGCCUUGUGGUAUGAUGGUGUGUAAUCGUACUAGCUACGGAUAUUUACAAUUAAAACCGACACAACAAUCAUUGGACUUGUUUUCACCAUAUUUAGUAUUAUUUUCAGGAUCAUCUCCGAACCCAAUUUCAGAUGAUCUUGUGAAAUACCUGCAACAACACGAGUAUGUUAAAAUUAGGAAUUCUACCCCAAAUAUAAGAAAAUCUUAACACAGUACCUAUGAUAACACACGUAUGCGGAACGAUAUAUUUUUUAUGGUCUAUAACCCAGUCUUCUUAUUAACAGAAACCAUGAUUUUCCAUGCACAUUUCGCUUUGAAUUUGUCAGAUCGGGAUUUAACAAAAUGGAAGUUUAUCCCAUUUUUUAAGUUGUAUCACUUCAUUACAGUGACAAAACCAUCUUUAAAGGAAAACUCCUUCCCCACUUCUAAAUCACCCGAAUUCAACAAAGAACUCGCAUAGCUCGAUCUUUUGUGUGGGAAUUUUACAAACUCCAAUCCAUCUUCUGCUAAAAGGUCCACAUUAUGCAUGUAGGUCGGUGGUGAGUACGUCAUGAACUGUGAAUCUUCUUCGACAUAUUCGCCCGGACCUUCACCAUCUGAACCUCCAUAUUUUAGUUUAGUUGGAACCAGCUUUGGGUCAGAAAAUAAUGCAAUUUCUAAACCAUCAGCCCCGGGCUCCCAGAUUGGAUUGGCAUCAGAUUCAGUGCCCUCUUCAUUCUCAGCCGCACCAGUAUCUCCGGGGUUGGAAAUCCCCUCGUCGGUGGAUGUCAUAGGGAGUACAUCAUCCCUUAUUGUAUAGUUCUCGAAACAACCAAACCACCUAUUGAUUACCAACCGUUGGAACUUGAUGUCAUUCUCCUAUAGGUGUUCCCAGUAUUAAACAUCGGCUGAUCGAAGCUGAAAUCAAAACCACUAACUGAGUGUCGCAUGGGGGUCCAGUAUUAUUGGUUACUGCCAAACCCUGUAAGAUUUCCCACUUUCAACUCUUACAAUUUCCCACUCACCCAUCAUAUAUCUCGGGAUUCUCGAGAUAAUAUUUUCUAAAAAAUUCUGAUCGACCUCAACCUCCCCUAAGCUAUAGGUGAUCAAAACUCAGUUACAUUCGAAAAAAUUGAAAAAAUUUACAAACUAAAAGUUAAUCGAAUUGAGUAGUUCAAGCUUUGAUUUUGAAUCGAAUUAAAUUUUACAAUUUGAAUAAUUCAAAUAUACGAUUGUUGUAAAUAUCAAAUUAAAUAAUGUUAACUUUACAAGUCAAAAAAAUAUAAAAAAGUCUAAAGAAUAUAUAAAAAAUUUUAAAAAUAUAAAAACCCCUAAAUCCUAAAACACUAAAACCUACAAAAUCUUAACCCUAAAUUACUUUAACAAAAAUCAAAAUCCUAACCCUAAAAAAAUAACCUUACCAAAAGAAAAAUGCUUCCAGCUGAAAGGUUUUCCUACAAAUCCAUUGAAAACGCUUUCAGUUGGAAGAGUUUUCGUAUUUUUGGCCUAAUCCCGUAAUUUUUCAAAAACCAGCCUAAUUCGAUAAUUUUUUUUAAAAAAAAUCGACAUUUUUUAGAACUUCAUUCUCUGUUGACAUCAUUACUGUUACAAUAAUUAAAAAAUAUAAGUUGGAGUGAGUUUAAAAGAAUAUUAUCUUUUAAUUUAAAAAUUAAUAAAAUUAUAGGUAGGUUACCACAAAGAUCCUUUUACUUCUUUUUGUUUUCUUUUCUUGUCAUUUUUAUGUGUUUUUUUAUGGCUAUUGGUAUCAAGGAUGUUUUCAACAUGGAAGUACUAUCAAUGAAACCGUAGAACUUGAGUUUGAGAUGUUGGACUUAAUUAGCAAUUGAAGUUAAAGUGAAUGAAAGGGAUUUGAGAACUUUCUUAGUUGGUUAUUAUUGAUUGUGUGAUAUCUAGAGCCCGCUUUUUACUAUUAUUAGUAUGGUUCCCUACCAAGUUUCAUGUUGGAUUAAUUGUUCUUUUAUGAGUAAAUUUUGAAGGUUCAAAUAUAUUUUAAGUCUUCAUACUUUUCAUGUGUUUAGAAGUUAGUCUUCAUAUUUUUAAUUUUAAGAAUUUAGUUCCUUUAUUUUUUAAAUUUAAAAAUUAAGAUUUAAUUGUUAAUACUAUCAAAUUCGAUGGAUUUCCGUUUUGAAAUUAAAAAAAAAACACUCACACGGUAACUAUGUAACAAAAAAAAAAACAUUGCAAUGAGCGUGAAUUUAACAGAUAAUUUUAAUGGUAUUAAUAACUCUUAAAAAUUACAUCGUCAUUUUAAUCGAAAUUAAGGUUUUUGGGCUAACUAAUAACAAUAAAAAAGUCAAGGUACCAAAUCAUAUCAAAAAGUUAAAAUAUAAAAAUUAAAUCUUAAAUUUAAGCAAGACCAAAAUAGAAAUUUAAUUAUUAUAUAAUUUAUAAAAAAAUAAACUUAUUCCAACUCAUCAUGCUAAAAGAAGUUUUUUGUUAGUAUUGUUUAAGAAAUCUAGGUCAAAAAACUAAUUAGAGUAGUCAACAAAAUUAACAAAUUGGACUAAAUAUUAUAAAAUUAAGACCAAAUUAUUGUAGAAUUUAUGAAUAAGAAUUAAAUCUUAAUUUUAGGUAUAAUAGAGGGAUGAAAAGUGAUAUUUGGCCAUUAUCCUAUGAAAGACAAAAAAAAAAAAUGAAAGUGGGAAGCAAGGAGAAGCCAAAAUUUUUUUUAAAGGGGCCGAAUGAAAUUUUAAUUUUUAAUAGUCUAUAUUUUUAUAAUUUUUAAAGAAUUAAAUCAAAUUUUUAUAAUUUUAGGGGGGCCAAAGUAUAAUAUUACUUUUACUAAUUUAAAAUUUUAAAAAUUUUUAAAGAGCCUAAAUAACAAAUUUCCUUUUAGGGGGGGUCGGGGCCCCUGCCAGCCCCCCUAGAUUCGCCUCUAGUGGGAAGGUUUAAAACGACCUUUGAGUUAUUGAUAAAGAGACUUUAGCUUAUUGAGAAGGAAUUAGAAGAUUAUGAAGUAGGAGAAAAUUUAUUUUUGUUUGUGUUUGANNNNNNNNNNNNNNNNNNNNNNNNNNNNNNNNNNNNNNNNNNNNNNNNNNNNNNNNNNNNNNNNNNNNNNNNNNNNNNNNNNNNNNNNNNNNNNNNNNNNNNNNNNNNNNNNNNNNNNNNNNNNNNNNNNNNNNNNNNNNNNNNNNNNNNNNNNNNNNNNNNNNNNNNNNUAAAUGGUUGACCCAAAUUCAUUUUAGUACACACUCAUAUUGUUUUUAAAAUCUUUUUUAAAAAUUUAUUUAUAAUAUUUUAAUUUAAUAUUUAAUUAUCUUAACAUUUUUUAUGUUUACAUUAUAGUAGUAUUAUAUAUUACUACAAAUUUAAUUUUUAUGUGUUAUAAAUUACAAAAAAUAUAUAAAAAUAACAUAAUAAUGAGGCCGGUCAAGCCGAGCUUAGGCCUUGAAUAUUCAAGUCCAAGCCCAAAGACAACUUAUAUUUUAAAUGAGAUUAUUAUUUUUUGUUCAAGCCUAUUUUUCGAAUUUAAUUUUUUACCUAAAUACUAUCAAAUUUUGAAUGGACCUUCAAGCGUUAUUCCAAUUUGACCCUAAUUUUUUUAAUCCUCAAUAUUACAUUUUGAGUCAAAUUAUUUUUUUUAAUAAAAAAAAUACAGAUUGAACCAUUAAAAUUUAACAGUGUUAACAUGACAAUUUGAGUAGAUAACGAUUAAAUGAUGUGGCAAAAACGAAAUGAAGAGUUGGCAUUGUAGUCGAGGAAGUGGAAAUCUAGAGUAAAGGAAUGAAAAGAAAAUAUAGAAGCUUCAUGCAAAUAAGAAGAAUAACCACAUUCAAAGUCUAUUGUGAGAAGGACGUACCAAUUUAUUAAAAUACAUUGUUAUGUAUAGAAAAUAGAGAAUGGUCUCUGUUAAGGAUCGGCCCGAUUAAGCAAUAAGUAACAAAAAUAGCAGAAUAAAUUAAGAAAUUAAACAUAUAAAUUUAACGUGAAAAAACCCCUCCAAAGAGGAUAAAAAAUUACGGGCAAAGAUAAUUUUACUAUAAUGGCAAAAGAACGAAGAGUACAAAAGAUGGAGAUAAAACUAAACCCAAAAAACUCGAAAACAAAAAACUCUCAAAACGUAAAUGUAAGAACCCAUUUUUGCCUGGACCCAUACUAGCAAAAUAAGCCCAAAUAAUAAAAACAAAAACAGUCCAUUUUCAGCAAAUUUAAGCACAAAACCCAAUUAUGCCAGCCCAAUACAACCCUAGCCCACAACAAAAACUUUCAGCAGCAAAGGGAGCAAACCCUAACCCUCUCCAGCGCCCGCAUGCACGCCCCUGCCCUUGGGCGCCGCUCCAACUCCCCGCACGCCGCCGCCGCACUUCACCACGCUCGUCUGGCACCUGCAAAGAAUUUAAUGCAAUAACAAAUGAAGAAGCACGCGGGCAAUAAUAGUAGUUAAUAGAUAAUAAGGAAGAGAAAAGCAUUUUGAUUCGGCUAUAAAAGCCCGAAUCUCACCGUUGUACUUUUUUUACGAACGCACAUCAAUUAAUCAAAAAUCAAAACACAGAUUUUAAAGGUUAAAAAUCUGAUCGUUUUCUUUUUUCUUUUUGUUUUUCUGUUUGCUGUUUUCUUUUUAUUCUUAUUAUUAUUUUUUGUUUUGUUCAUCUCUUUUACAAAUAGUUUUAACAAUAAAUAUAGAAUAGAAAGAAGGGGAAAGAAACGCACCUAGAUCACCGGUGGCUCCGUCGACGGAUGUCUUCUCGCCGUCGUCGGAAUCGGGUCUUGAAGUGGGUUUAAUGCUCCUUCGGUCCCUCGGAUUGGAAGCCUGACUCUCUGAUACGCCCCCAUUUUCUUCGCCGUUGGCCUUUGGUCACGGCGGCUCCAAGGCCGAAUUUUUUGGGAGAGUUGAGAGAAUGAGGGUUUAGUUUUUUAGAAAAAAAUGGUUGCAGGUGACAGAUUUUUGGGGUUUAAAU
rnacentral:lncRNA from 1 species